rnacentral:lncRNA from 1 species
UUCUCCCACCAAUAAUAUAUUCAAAUAAACAGUUUGAUAUUGAAGAAGUUAUGUACAGACCAGAGACUGUGUAUCAGCGUCUUCCUUUUAUGAAUAUUUCAAAGGCACAGGCUUUUUAAUAACACCCUGCCCAAAUACUAUACACAUCACUACCUGAACCACUCGGUAGUUCUUGAUGUUUUACGCUGAAGCUAUAUAUACAAUUAUAUCUACAGACAGAAUAUUUACAAAUCCUUCAACUACAGGCCCUAAAAAUCAACUUGUAGCAGAAAUAUCAUUUCCAGCGAGUAUGAAGCUCCUGGCUCCUUUUGACGGGACUUGGCCGGGAAGAGUCGUUGAAACUCUCCAGAGAAUAGACCUCCCAUCCCCCAUCUCUCCAGUAGGUUGAGUAUACUUCUGGGAUGUGCUUGACUCUCCCAUAAUCUCCCCCUUGUUCAUCUGAACGAAGUGUCUGGAUUAGUUCUCGAGGCAUGUCGAAAAAUUCUAGCACUUUCAGCUUUGUCAGAUGCUCAAUGCCUAUUGGUGCCUUCUCCAGCAAUUUACAGCGCUGAAUGCUCAACUUUUCCACGCGAGGCAGCGCACCCACCUCGUCGGGCAAUUCAGUGACAUACGUGUGUUUGAGAUUCAAGGUCUCUAGGUGUUGAAGUUUCCCUAUAUAGGAUGGGACUCUACUUACCUUAGUUUCCUUCAAACUUAGAUACCUAAGGUAAUACAGGUUCAUAACUUGAACUGGAAACAUUUUUAUUGGAGCACCUUGAAUAUCCAGCACAUGGAGCAGCCUAAAACCAUUAGGAAACAAGGUUCGUAGGGGCGACUUCUCUACCACCCCAAACAUGAACAAAGAACGCAACUGAGAGACGCACCUGUUCAGUUGUACGUUUGGCACUGUGUAGUGUAUUGAUAGACGCCGAAUUUUGUCUGGCCACAUUGCAUUUUGAUCCUUGGCUAUAACUGCAAAGUUCUGGUCUCUUGACUUUGAAAUGAUAAUCUCUCGCAGGAGGUCAUGGGGGCGACAUGUUUUGACCCUUCCGUCACUAGCUGUCUCCGCCACUUGCAACAGGCUUCUGUUCAGGAGUUCAUUGAAAUAGUCCUCUGCAACAUCUUCUAACUCCUUUCCAUUUUUUGCUUCCACAAAUCCUUCCGCAACCCAUAGACGAAUAAGUUUCAUGUGUUCAAUUAGAUGAUCCUCUGGAAAGAUGCUCACAUACAAGAAACAAGACUUUAGAUAGUACGGCAGAUCAUUGAAACUGAGAGAAAGCACCUUUUUCAAAUUGAGAAGCUUAUUAUUGUCCUCGAUUUCAGCACCAAGACUACGUCGAACCAUUUCCCAUUCAUCUAUCCUUCGCUUGUCCUUUGCAGCAAGAACGCCACUGAUUGCCACAAUUGCAAGUGGAAGCCCCUCGCAUUUUCUCAAGAUAUUCUUACAAAUAUCCUCCAAAUGACGAGGACAUGGAUUCCCCCGGAAUGUCUUCCUGCAGAAAAGAGUCCACGACUCUUCUGGAAGCAAGGGCUCCAAGUUAUAGACCUUGCCUUCUGAUUCUAUGCGAGAGGUGAAGGCUAGACCAGCAUUGCGUGUAGUGAGCAUGACCCGGCUGCCGCAGUUGUUGGUUGGCAAGGCAUACUUGACAGCAUCCCACUCAUUGACGUGCCAUACAUCAUCCAGGACUAUUAGGUACCUUCUUUUCUGCAGGAGCUCUUUGAUUUUUGAUUUUAGCUGACUGCUGUUCUGGCUCUCUAAAUUUUUGGGGACUGGCUUCCUCUCUGCAGCAAAGAGUUGUUGAACAAUGUCUUUAAGUAGUUCUUCCAUCUUGUAAGAUCGAGACACUGUAAUCCAGGCAUUGACACUAAAAUGUUUCUUCACUUCUGCAUCAUCAUAGACUUGCUUUGCCAAGGUGGUUUUUCCCAGCCCUCCCAUCCCAGCAAGCGAAACUACUUCACGUCCUGAACGACCAUGGACAAGCCAGUCAACAAGCUUGCUUUUGCGCUCCUCGAUUCCCACUAGAUCUGUCAUGUCUAGAAGAAGGGCAUCUUCUCUUCGGUCCUGCCAGCCUGUGCUAGUGGAGCUCGAACCAUGUUCAGCUACGCAGAACUUUUGACGGAGUCUGCGAUGGCCAUCCGAGAUAUUUCUGAUUCUUGAGUUGAAGGAUUUUAUUUGCGAAGCAAUUCGAUAGCGAGCCUUCAUAUUUUUUAUGCAGCAUGACAACUUAUGGAUCAAACCAUAGAGUCCACUCGCAUGAUCAUGUGUCAGGAGAAUUGUGAACUCAUCCAGAAUAUCUUCAGUUUCAUGAGCAACGUCUCUUAUUUGCUUAACCCACACCUUGACUUCCUCAUCGCUCUCUUCUAAUGUGUCUGCAACGCGUAGGAAGGCUCUUAUCCGCUCCAACUCUCCUCUCACAUAAACAAUUUCUUCCCCCCCACCUCUUAAUGACUGCAGCUCAUUUUCAAAAAGAGGUGCAAGCUUGUCAAGUAGAAAGUUCACUGCACUCUCCGCCAUUUUUCUCUCAACUUUUUUGGAUCAUUUUUUUUCCAUCUGCAGGAGUUCCUCUAUGUUGAGGACGACUUUUUAUAACCAAAUUCUUGGUCUUUGUCAUAUUUAUUAAUGGUAUGCAAAUUACGUCAUUGCUGAUGCUUAUCUCAACGAAUCUUAUUCAAGUUGGGCAGUCAAAUAUCCUUUUCUGGGGUAUGGGCUCUCCGCCAACGUCGUCCUUUACUCCUCUAUCCUUCUCGAAUUUACAUGACCAUAAAACAAACUGUGCGAUAUGGUAUUUAAGAUUAUUAAAAAUAAGUAUGAAACUGAUUGAUAAGAUUAUUUAUUUAUUUUGUAAAUUCAAUGAAUUAUGGGAAUUAAUUCUACUUAAUCUUGGAUUAAUUUUACUUGAUUGAAUUAGAUUUAUUGAUUUUACAAAUUUUAUGAAUUAUCAAUAAUUAAUUAACAUGCAUGGAUAGAGGGAUUUCAUUCUUAGUAAAAAUACAAGUAGAAAAGUAGAAAACUCUAGAAUGAAAUUAUCAUUAAUUAAUUAAUUAAUUUAGUUUGCAAGCUUUGAAUGAAAAUGUAUUUGUUGUUGAAAUGCGUUAUUGACAGGUAUCUUGACAACUUUUUUUCUUGUCUUGUUUUUUAUUUGAGAAUAUUCUACGAUUAUAUAUAUUCUUUAUAUAUAUUUGUAGCUGUCUUUUGUUUCAUAUUUACAUAUUAUCUUACAAAUAUAUAAUUGAUUUUUAUUAGCCACAGAUAUUUGAAGGAUAUGUAACACCCAGACUUUUGUCUAUCCUUACCUUCAUCGUAUGCCUGUGUAAUCAAGAAGGAAGAAAAACAAAAGGCUGAGUCAGCUAAGAUAAAGAAAAUGCAAGGAAAUGUCCAAGCAACGUAUAGUUAGAUUCAACAGAUUAAUUACAGUAUCUUAACUCGGUGUACUUUCAUGCUUUUCAAGGAUGAUUGUCUUCCUCUUUUUCUUUUUGGAAACAGCCUUUCAUGUGUUUGCCGAAACAAUUUGCUGAGAGGAUCAUUAAGCCAAUAUUGUUACUUAAUUAUUUAAUGAGUUGCACUACCAUUUGACAACGUAGACAGGCAGAUGCUGAUGUUGUUGAAGUAAAGAUUACGCGCCUGUUUGGAAAAGUAGUAGAGACUACUUUCUAAACUAAUUACGAUUCAACUAGAAUCUCAAACACCGUCGUCCACGACGAAGAAUGCAUUGAAAACCAUUGCAAUCAUAUUAGCAACUUGCAUCAAUUGAGUGUUUUACGGGGCACUGAAAUUGCCAGGAUAUAUAGUUCUUGUCUGUUUCCGUGCUCUUACACUGUUGUGCUUGUGAUAGCUGAAGUCAACAGUUGUGACAUUAACAUCUGCAAUCAUGUUCAUCCAAACUUAUCCUUGUAAACCUCUUUGCAAGCAACCGCCCCUCUUCCUUGAAAAAGCCAGUGCCGCCUGCCUUCAUCUUCAACGUUUCGGAUGCUUUAAUAGCUAUUAUUGGUCGUUUUCAUUGCAUUUAUGGCCUUGGAAAUGUGCCUGCUCUAUAUAUCCGAAUCUGAUCGCUCUUGUAACUUCAUCAAUAUAUCUACUAAUAAUUCAUACAUUGAUAUGUCUCUGUUGCGCCAAGUAAAUUGCAAAGAGAUUUCUCAUGAGUGGAUUUCUUGCCUGAGACCCAAGUUAGGAAAGGUUUAAUUUCGUUGCGUGAAAGAUGGCUCAAGAAUACUUUGACCGGUAGAACCAAAAUGAAGAUUAUAACAUUGUGUAGAAUAUCGAGCAACCGGGAACUGUACUUCUUUAUUCAUUGCUGUUGCUGAUAUAUUGACCGAAAGAAAGAAAAGUUGCAUAAUUUAUAUUUAGAAAAUUAUCUAUCCCUCUGAUUGAUCAGCACUCCUAUACUGCUCUACGAUCUUGUUUCAAGGAAACCAAAUUAGGGUAAGCCAAGAAAAACAGUAUUUUUCAAGGCUUUCAAUUUUGUUUUGUUUUGAUUUGGAUGACAAAUAUAUCUCAUAUCAUUUAAAAAAAUAAAAAAAAUCUAGAACAAAUUUUAUCGAUCCAUUCUUAAUUUGUUUUUUUGGCUAAGAUUCAAUCAAGAUGUUUAGUUUUAUUUUGCCAGUUUUGUUUCUUGAAUAGUGUUUUUUUAUUAUUAUUAUUAUAUGUUUUGAGAGUUUCAAGCGUGUCUUGAUUUAUGGCUGGUAAUGUGAGCCCAGAAUACACUUUCAACAUUUUUUCUCUUUGAAUCUGGGCUGUGUAUAUCCAGGCCUAUCUCUUUUUUUUUUUUUUUGAAUUUUUUUUUUCUUAUUCUUAAUGGGGUUACCAAACAAAACAAUUUUCAAUCGGGUCCUCCAAUUGUCACUCAAUUUUAAUAGGUGAAAGUUACGGGCUGGGAUUUAGAGCGUUUUAUGGGCCUCCGGGAAAAUGGGCCUUCCACUGCAAUUAGUUUGAAGGUAUUUUUUAUGAUUAAUAUAUAUAUAUAUAUGUGUGUUGUCAUAUCUUUACCAUAACUUCACAUAUAUAAUUAAUAAGAAUGGUCACUACAGCUUUAAUCCUAAUAUAACUGAGGAUAAAAAAAAUAAAAAACAAAAUCAUUUUGAUAAUAUAUAUAUUGUUCUUCAGAGCACUGUUAUUAAAUCCGGCUCGGCAUGACAGGUCGACCCGGGACCCGGUGGCUGGACCGGUCCGGGUUUAAUAAAAGACCGGCUGUUGCAAUAGCACAGGCAAACCCGGACGAGACCCGGUUUUUUUUUUCUUCAAAUGUGAGAUAAAAAACUUUUUGGUUUAAAUAUUUUAACUUAAAAUGACAACAUAGUAUUUGAAACCCAUUAGUAUAUAUACUCUAUGUUCCCAAGGAAAAAAUCAUGUUUUUUCAAUGUGGGAUAAAAAACCUUUUGGUUUAAAUACUUCAACUUAAAAGGAUAACAUAGUAUCUUUUCAAUGUGGGAUUUGAAGCCCUUUUAUAUAUAUACUCUAUGUUUCCAUGAAAAAAGUUAUGUUUUUUCAAUGUGGGAUUUGAAACCCAUUAGUAUAUAUACUCUGUUUCCAAGGAAAAAAUCAUGUUUUUUCAAUGUGGGAUAAAAAAACCUUUUGGUUUAAAUACUUCAACUUAAAAGGAUAACAUAUUAUCUUUUCAAUGUGGGAUUUGAAGCCCUUUCAUAUAUAUACUCUAUGUUCCCAUGAAAAAAGUUAUGUUUUUUCAAUGUGGGAUUUGAAACCCAUUAGUAUAUAUACUCUAUGUUCCCAAGAAAAAAAUCAUGUUUUUUCAAUGUGGGAUAAAAAACCUUUUGGUUUAAAUACUUCAACUUAAAAGGAUAACAUAUUAUCUUUUCAAUGUGGGAUUUGAAGCCCUUUCAUAUAUAUACUCCAUGUUCCCAUGAAAAAAGUUAUGUUUUUUCAAUGUGGGAUUUGAAACCCAUUAGUAUAUAUACUCUAUGUUUCCAAGGAAAAAAUCAUGUUUUUUCAAUGUGGGAUAAAAAAUCUUUUGCUUUAAAUACUUCAACUUAAAAGGAUAACAUAGUAUCUUUUCAAUGUGGGAUUUGAAGCCCUUUCAUAUAUAUAUUCUAUAUUCCCAUAAAAAAAGUUAUGUUUUUUCAAUGUGGGAUUUGAAACCUAUUAGUAUAUAUACUCUAUGUUUUCAAGAAAAAAGUUAUGUUUUUUCAAUGUGAGAUAAAAUCUUUUUAAAAUAUUCUUUUAAACUUUAUUAUUUAUAAUCUAUAUUUACAUUGAUUUUUUCAUAUGAAAUAUUAAAACUUUAAUUUUUUUUUUAAUUUUCCCGAAUUGACCCGGGUUGACCCAUGAAACCCGAGACCCGGCCCUUUGACCGGGUCAACCCCCAGAGUGAACCACUUGGACUUCAUGCAAUCCAUGCACAUCCACCGUGAAAUCAUAACCAAGCUUUUUUAUGUCACUGUAGCACUCCAAAUCAUCAUCAUCAUCUUCUUGUACCUUAAUAACAAAAUUACAUUGUCCAUUGUUCAUUAUUAUUGACAUGUCCAUUGCUAUUUCGAACUCAUCCAAUAAUUGAUCUAUUAACUCCUCUAGAUAUCCCCAGUCUAUCAUCUUUGGUCCGUCGUUGUCGCCGCCGCCGCCGUGAUGCAUGUUCAAAGUCUUGAAACAUUUUUCUUUAUACAAGGAAAGAACAAGAGGAUUUAGUUUGAAAAAAUCGAUACCCAAUUUAUCUCUCCUCUCAUCGACAUGUUUGUUAUCAGAUUCAGAAAAUAACGGUACAUCCUCUUUGUCUUGAUCAUCGUGAUCUUGAUUGUAUGAAAAAUAACUAAACCCCAUUGUCGUGUUAGUUGAAUUGACAAACAAAAGGAUAUACAGUUCUUGGAAGAAGAACUUUGAGAGCUAAAGUAACCAAAAGUUGAAAGUCAAGAAACAGGGAGCUGCUACCGAUGGAGAGACUUGGGAGAGAAUGGACAAACAAGAUCUGUGACUAGACUACAAUGAUUUGAUAGUAAUAAUUAAUUGGCGAGGUUCAGUUUAUAUAUAAACACGGGAGCAAACAUGGAGUCCUACCAGGAUUAAACCUUUUGCUAACGUUUCAAAUCCGUUUAGAAUUCUCUCAUCUACUUUCCUGAACGGAGUAGGAUUCACUCUAUAACUAGCUAUUUCGGUUUAACUGCACUUCACAACUUUAAAUAGAAUUAUUAUUACUCAUUUAAUCAAUAAACCAACCAAUGCACAUCACAUUUAUCAAUUGCAUAUUGUUUCAUCGCAACUGUGGUUAGACAAUGAAAGUACAGCAUUCAUACAUCAAAAGCAACAGAGGUAGAUUCCUGCCUUGAUGUGCCUCUACAAAGCAAAGCUUUUGUAUGGAUUGUAGACCUCCAAUAUGAGCUGGUGCCUCGAAACCGUAUUUGGUGGGGAUCCCGUCAUCAGAAUCAAUUUCAUAGCGAUACACCAAGAGGUAGCAAAGUUUUCGGAGCUUCCGAAUCUCAGUAGGCAAUACAGAAAACCUCACUACCAGAAAUUUACUUAAUAGCAACGGAUUUACCGACGGCAUAUUUCAGUUAGUAAUUUGAGGUCGAAAUUACCGACGAAACUUUUUCCGUUCGUAAUUCAGUCGGUUACUAUCGACAGAGUUACCGACAGAAUUCUGGACGGAAAGUUCAGAAUUAAAAAAAAAAAGCGGGUCGCUGACGUGGAGUUUUUGGCGGGGUGGUUUUUUUCGACGGAAUUAUUGAAGAAUUCAAAACGACAAGCCCGUAAAGUGACGUGACCGGUUCACCGUUAAAAAUACCGACAGAAUCACCGACAUAUUCGAAAUGGCAGAUCUGUACGGUGACGUGUCGAUUUUUCCGUCAGAAUAGCCGACAGAUCCACCGACAGAAUAAUCAAUCAGUGAAACAUCAGAAAAAGUCAAUAUAAUUCCCUACCUAUCGACCCUCUCCUCCCCUAUUUCUCCUUCUUCUUCCUAAUCCCAACUCUCCCCAUCUGCAAACAACCAACCCCCAAACAAAAAUCUCCCUCAUCUCAGCACAACAAGUUAUAUUUCUUGAAGUUUUGUGGUCACAGCAUCCGUGUUUUGAUUUGUCGAUGGAUUUUAUCAAUUUUUGUAACUAAUUCUAUCUUUUUAAAUUUUAACAUUUAAAUGUCAAUUUUAUUGUUUUUUUUAGUAUAUGUAUUUUGUUAGUAGAUGUACAUGUUUUAUUGUUAUUUCUCAAACAAACUUGUAGUAUAUGAAUGUAUAAUUUUAUACCUGUUAUGGUUUGUUUUAGAUUUUGUAAGAUUGUAUUUGUUUGUAAAUUGUUAAAACUUUAUGGAAUUACCGAAUUACAUGUGCUAUUUUGAAAUAAUUAAUAGCUUGCUUAAUGGGUCCGUUUUAAGUUUUAUCAAUGGUAUUGCGGUGUGGUAAUUUUCAUAAAUUUAUAUAUAUUAAUUUGUAUGGACGUUGAUAAAUGAUAAUGAAUAUUUAAUAUUUAUGAGAAGUUGUGAUUGGUUUAUUGGAUAAUCUUGGGGUAAACUAAUAUUUUUGCAAGUUUAUUUACCUAACUUAGUUAAUUAAUACAUGAUAUCAUCAUAAUUUUGUAGAGGUUCAAUAUAAGUCAUGGAUGAUUGUUCAUGGAUGUAUCGAGAUUCACCCCAAGAAUUACGGAGGAUGGAUUAUUGUAACAGGGUUCAGGGUUUUAUUAAUUUCGCAACAUCUAUUCCCAGAAAUUUUAUUGGAGGCGGUAUUAGGUGUCCAUGUAGGAAGUGUCAAAAUAAAAAGUAUCUGCAUCCAGAUGUUGUAAUGAUGCAUCUUCUACACAAAGGGUUUAUGGAGAAUUACUAGUGUUGGUAUGCACAUGGAGAAGUAUUUGUUAGUAAGAGGAGAAUGAGAGAAACGAUGAUUGGGUCAACUUCUAGUGCUAGCAACGUACAUGAAGCGACAAAUGACAACACUAAUCCUUACAGAAAUAUGGUUAUGGAUGCAAUGAGAAUGAAUCAAGGUAAUGUCAGUCAAAGUCCAAUUGUAGAAGAAGAACCUAAUGCAGAUGCAACUAGGUUUUUUGAUUUGUUGAAAGAUUCUGACGAACCAUUAUGGGAUGGCUGCACAAACCACAGUAAAUUAUCGGCCGUGGUAGAGGUGUUCACCAUCAAGUCAGAUCACGAGUUGAGUGAGGCCCUGUGUAAACCUGUAAAACGAAGCCCUGUGUAACUAUCAAAAUGAAGCCCUGUGUAAAACCCUUUUUUCAUGUAAUUUAGAUUAUGGAUGAUAUAUUUUGUAACGUGAAAUAUUUAUUGUUUAAGCACUGUUGUUAUUGUUUUAUGUGAUGGACAGUUUAUCAUUUAAGUUUUUGCAGGAAGGUAAAUAGGCAAUACAAAUACAACAUUUCUUGUACAGUGCAACAAUUACCGACGUCCAUACUGACGGAUUCACGUUCGUCAACAUCUCACAGAGAGUUCGAAAACAAUUACUCGAAAUGACACAAUCACCGUGACUAUACGACGAUUCAAGUCCGUCGGCAUCUCACAGAGAGUUCGAGAAUAAUUACUCAAAUGCCACAAUCACCAACGACCAUACUCAAAAUGCCAUACUCAUCGAAGAAUAUACGACAUAAUUAUGUCAUUUGGUAAUUUGUCGGUAGGCAAAUGUUACCGAAAAAAAUACCGACGGAUUGUGCGAAUUCCAAAGGGUGGUGCAUUGAAAGAAUCUCUGACCGCGUCAGAUUGCCGACGGAAUUAUUGACGGACCGUGAAAAAUAUGGAGGGUAAUUAAAAAUUUUGGUGCGGAAUUCAAAAAUUAUCGACAGAUUUGACACUUCACCGACGGAUUAAAUUAAAAUAAUAAUAUUUUUUUUUAUUUUGUCGGUAAAAGCCCUAUAAGUUCCAGCGACCACCCCUUCAGUUCAUUUUUUCUUCUCCACUAUUUUUCACCUUAAAUUUUGAUUUUUUUCCUCUCAAUUCUUCAAGUCUUUCACCUAGAAUCUCUAGCAAGAUUUGUUGUGAAUCUUCAUCACAUUAAAAGGUAUGUGUUUUUUCUAUUUCAUUUUAUUUUAUUUUUUUUAGUAUUUUUAUUUUUGUUGGUGUAUUUUUUGUAAUGUAGAUAAAUUUUGAAUUCAACACAUUAUUAAGGUAUGCAUAUUUCUUUCCUAAAGUCUAUAGUUUUUUUUUUGAAUUUUUGAAUAUUUUUUUAUUGUUGUAUUGGCAUAAUUAUUAUUAGUUAAUUUGUUGAAUAUUUGUUGUUAAUGUUGAAUUUACCUUAGAAUUAGUAAUUGAAUAUGUUGGAAUAAUUAGUAAUUUUACUCUAUUAUUGCAUGAUUUGUGUUUAAUUAUUUCCAUUGAUUUUAAUUGUUAGUCUAUAUAUUUUUUUUUAAUUUAUUGAAUAUAUUUUAUUGUUGUAUUGGCAUAAUUAUUGAAUAAUUUGUUGAAUUAUAAUUGUUAAUGUUGAAUUUACAUUAGAAUUAGUAAUUGAAUAUGUUGGAAGAAUUAAUAAUUUUACUCUAUUAUUGCAUGAUUUGUGUUUAAUUGUUUUCAUUUAUUUUGAUUGUUAGUCUAUAGUUUUUUUUGAAUUUAUUGUUUUGUUGUAUUGGCAUAAUUAUUGAAUAAUGUUUUGAAUUGUAAUUGUUAAUGUUGAAUUUACCUUAGGAUUAGUAAUUGAAUAUGUUGGAAUAAUUAGUAUAGAUUGGGUCAAUUGGUUGUGGCUAUUGUUAAUAUUUGCAGGUUUGUGGAUUUGGGUAGUAUCCAGUAUAGGGGAGGUGCUGUCGAAUUUUUUUAACAUUUGAAUUUAAUUAUAUAAUUAUUUGUAUAAAAUUGGGUAGAUGCGUAGAAUGAAAACCAGAGCUGGUCGUUCACGUAUGGUCGUAGCUAGUUCAUCUAGCAGCGAGGAUGAUAUUUCCUUAGAUGCCUCUCAAGAAGAGGCACCUACACCACCUGCGCCGUCAACCGAUGCUGCCUCUUCCAGCGCUAGUUCACAGCGCAGAGGUGGCGUGCCUUCACAGCAGAAUCAAUUUACCCUCAAGUACGAGGCACAGUGGAAGGACGACCUUUCAAUGUAAGUUUGUUAAGGUUUUAGUUUUUUUUUAAAAAUUAUAACAUAAUUUAUGAAGUAAUCACUAUUUCAUUAAUUUCAUUUAUUUCAGGUUCACAAACAUUGAGGCCGCCCAGUAAUAUCAUCGGCAUUUAAAUCAUCGAUGGAGAUUCCAUUGUUUCAAUGGAGUCAGAUAUCCAGGCAUCCUGAAUGGAUGCCUCAAAUCAAUGCAUGGUUUGACAGAUUUAACGUUGGUUAAUUAUAAAAUUGUAAAUAAAUCAUUGUUUAUAUUUAAAAUUAAUUUUUUAUACAGGAUAAAUUUUGCUGGACAAUGAACAUAACACUGUUGUGAGGAGGGUGUGGGAAAAUCACGCAGCAACUAGGUAACAUCGAAAAAUAAUACAAUUUUUUUUAGACAAAAAUUUAUGUUUUGAAAUGUAAUUUUUGAUUGUGUGAAGUAGGUCGCGUGAUUUUUGGUACGAAGCCCAAAAAAGGACAAAAAAAUAGCGAGGGAUAUGGGGUUCCAAGUUGGAACGAUGUUGCGUUUGGAGGGAUUUCAAACCGAUAUACAUCCCAAUUGAUAUAUGGCCGCACUAUCUUGAGCACGUGACAUUGAGCGGUUCACAUGACGCUCACAGUCCGGUGCUGGCAACCGGAAUCACCAAUUUAUGGCUCGGUGACAACGCACACCAGCGACCCUAUUUCGUUUGCUGCACAUGCAAAACAGAUGGUAAGAUUAAUUUAAAUGAAAUAUAUCAUUCAAUUAAUUUGUUGUUAAUAAAUUUUUUAUUAUAGGCUACGUCUCUUGGAUGUGAGCCGAGCCCGAUGGAGUUGUUUUGGAGACACACAUGUGGAGUCAAGACCGCCAAAAGGGGGCACAACAGUUCGUUGACAGCCGUGCUCAACAUUUCAUGGUAUGUUUGUUCAACCAUUUUAUUUUGUAAGUUAUUAUGUUUUUGAAUUGAAUAUGAUGAUUACUUUUUUAUUAUUAUCAGGAGACCUAUAAUAAACAGUUGAGGGAGAGAUACGAGGAUGAUCCUUUGACCCAUGUAGAAUUCGAUCCGGAUUUAUGAAUGGAGGUUGGAUCAUCAGGUGGACCCGAUAAAAAUCGGGUUUACGAUCUCUCCAACACUACGGCCAAGAACUUGCGGUCGACCCGUAGUGUGACACGACCAAAAGAUUGAUGUCUUCUCCCAAGUGCAGGAGUGUCGAAGUAAUAAAUAACCCGGUAAGACCGGGGUCGAACCACAGAGAGGUUAAUUGUAUAAAUUAUAAAUAACAACACAACAAUAACAAUAAUAACAACAAUAACAAUAACAAUAACAGUAAUAGUAAUAAUAAUAAUAAUAAUAAUAAUAAUAAUAAUAAUAAUAAUAAUAAUAAUACUCAGUACGUGGCGUUGUUAUACCUAAGAAUGAUCUAAAAAAUCGGGUCACAGGUUUCCAGCCUAUAUACUGAGUUUAUGGAAAGAUCAAAGAGAUAUAUUAUAUAAUAUAAACAUAUUUCUAAUACGAAUGAACAAGGCAGGACCAACAAUGUCAGGAUCCUUGAUCAAACACAGAACAUACUUAACGUACAUAAAAUAUAACAAGAAUGUAAAUAAUAAUAAUAAUAAUAAUAAUAAUAAUAAUAAUAUUAGUAGUAGUAAUAAUAAUAACAAUAAAAAGAAGAGGAGGAAGAAAUUAAUGAGAACUUUGAGAUGGAAGAUUAAUGUAAGGAUUAAACAAUAAUAAAAAUAAAUGUCAAGGUUAGAGGAUCCACCAAUAGUAUAAACUCUUAUUACUCAAUUUGGAAACCACACACGAAGGAGGUUCCAUUCGGAUGAUUUGUCAUUAAUAGCUCAUUAUAAAUUAUUAACAUGAUCAUAUUAAUUAUCUUAUUUAUAUAACACCAAACUUUUAAAUAUUUUCAGGAAUUCAUGAUGUUAAUGAUGUUAACAACAAAUCAAGUACCUUUCAUAGCCCAUGUGUAGGUAAUACCAUACGGUUGGGCUAUGAGAGUGCCAAGCAUUUGUUGUACCAAGUAUUAUACAACACAAAUCUAGAUUAACCAUUUAACAAGCAAGGUAUUAAGAAUUAGUAAGAUAAAAAGAUAAGAUAUGUUAAUAUUAAACAUUAAGGUCCAUGUUGAGCUAAACAUAAUGAAGAAGAGAAACAUAAAUAAACAAAACAAGAACAUAAAUAAAAUACAAGUUAACUAAGGAAAGGAAAUGAAAUGAAAAGCAUAAACAAGAAAUUAAUGAAAGCAAAACUUAAGAAUUACAAAAAAUAUAAAGAGAGAAAUAAAGAGCAUGAACUUGAUCUGAACAACCCCGUCCCUAAAUACAUGGCAAAUGCCUCCUUUUAUAGGCCAAAAUUCGGAAUUAUUGAUUUGAUGACUAAUUGUUGAGUAGGUGACCAACUUUUGACUUAGUGAAAAUCCUUAUUAUCUUGUCUAAAUAAAACGAAAAUGCUAGCAUCAGAACUGGGUCCACUUGAAAGCAUGAAAGUUGUAGGAAAUUGACUCAGAUUUCCAGGAAAAAAAAGUGGAGGUGAUUUGGACUUCUAGAACUUCAGAUAUGGGCCAAACACUGAACAAUGUUUGGGCUGCAGGACUUCGACCUUCUUAGAUCUUGAUGUCCAAAUGAAAGUUGUAGGCCUAUGUCUUAUCAAAUCUCUGUAAAAAGUUCAGAUCAUUUGGAUAUCUAGAACUCGAGAUAUGACCCAAUUAUCGAACAGUGUUCCAGUUUGGACUGCACCAACGUCUCUUUUCUAAGCUUCACCCUUCUUUAUCUUCAAAAUUUCAGUAGUUGAAUUCAUCAAUCAAUCCUUUGAUUUAUGUGAUAUGCCUGCAUUUAAGAUGAACAUUUACCAUAUAUUAGGGUAUUAUAUAAUAUUAGACUUGUUAUUAUAAAACAUGCUUUAGUUAAGGAGUUAUUGAUACUUUAAGUGUAAAAUGAUGAUAUAAACCCUUGAUAAACAUGCACUUUUAAGUACUAAUCAUAGUGCUUCAACCGUUGGGAGCUCCCAAUAUAAGGAGUUUGUGGCCUUGCAACAACACACGGCUUAGCUUACCGAAAAAUAUGACCACCUAUCAUCGGAGUACGAACAAAGAGCAGCUUAUGAACAGCUUCGCGAAAUGGUCAUGAACAUGGCAUCACAGAGUGGAACAUGUGCGCCUUAUCCUUUUUGGCAGUAUGACCACCAGCCUCCUCCUCCUCCUCCUCCUCCACCUUUAUAUUAAUUUGUAAUAAACAUUAUUUACCUUUAAAAUUUCAUUUAAUAUUUUUUUGAAACACAUUCAUUUUGUAAUGAAUAUUAUUUAACUUUGAUUUUUUGUUUUUGAUGUUUAAUAUAAAUUUUAUUUCCAUAAUUGGUUUUUAUUACCAUUAAUUUAUAUCAUUUUAUUUUAUAUGUAUUCUAAAUAAUUUUUUUUUAAAAUUUUUUAUAAAAAACUAUUACAAAGGGUUUUACCAACAUAAUGAAUCUGUCGGCAUUUGACAGUAGCUGCCACAAUCACCGACGACUUUCCAGACGAAUACAUUCGGUCGGUAUUUCAUACAGUCACCGACACACUCACCGAUAAAUUUACUGACGGUAAGUGGCCAUCGAUAAAUCACGGUAUCACCGAUGUAAUAAAAUCCGUCGGUAUAUUUCAAGCGGGAAACUUUUUUUUUUUGGCGCGCAAAUUCUUUCUAUAAAACCAUCGGAAAAUGGUUUUUUUGUGUUUCCGACCAAUAUAGUGACAAAAUGUGGACCAAUCACCGACGAAAGGAAAGCCGACGGAUGUUGUUCGGCAACGAAUGCUGGAAAACAUGCCAAGCACUUGUGUGCCACACAUUGUCCAGGACAAUCUGGUAUUUCUUUUGUCGGGAGGAAUUCAUGGAUGACACUCCUUAGCUUAUUAUAGUUCAUGUUGUCCACACCUUUUGGAUCCUUGAAUCAUUAUAUUAUUUUUAUUAUAGUAUCUCCGAUGUGACUCUAAGAUACUGAUCACUCGAGACUUGAUGGUUUGAAUUUUUGAGGCAAUUCGACGCCGAGCUCUUGCAUCCUUAAUAGAGAAACCCUUGCCCAAUAUCACUAGCAAGGGAAAGGCUGAAAUUAUCGAGAGCAUCCUUUGUGUCAUAAGCUGCAUCUCUCACUUUCUUGAUCAAACAUUUUAGAACAGGAUCACCAUCUUUCAUUGCUUUUCAAGUAUUAUGAAGGCUGUCAUGAACUGUUGGGAAAUCCGACCGGUGAUGUACUGAUAGUUAUCCAUUGGAGGCUAAGGACUCUGACACAAUAUUUAACGUGGUUCGACAAAUUAUCUGUAUGCACGAGAGAGGUGAAUAUUAUUAGAGAUAUAGAAAUAAUACAAAACAUAUACAUGAAGGAGGAGGAUCACAUCCACUCUAACUCAACUCCCAGCACACACACACUGCUGCCACUCUUUCUCUUUUCUUCUCUUCACUUCACUCUCUACACUCUCUCAUUUUGCUCUCAAGUGAUGCCUCUAUUAUAGGCAUUAAUGGUAAGCUUCUCCAGCACAUUUUCAGCAUGGAUGGGACAAGAAAGCCAUACAAUAUGGCAUCAAUCAUGCCACAAUUUAUGCUUCCAUUUUGUACCAAGUGGGUGAUAAGUUGUCCCACUUGUACAAAGUUGGGGUGGGAUAUUUGCCACAACAAUGGCAAUAUCCUAACAAUCAACCCCUUUGCCAUUUGUGUGGGCAAUUGUCCUCUUGCUUCUUCAGCAUAAGCUUGCAUCUUGCAACUUUUCCAAGCUUCCAUUCUGAGAGCGUCUUCGACUAAGUUUGCAGGUACUUGCCAAACCUUUCAAUCUUCCAGAGUUGUCGCACCUGACAUCGCGGCGGCUCUAAAAAUAAAUCUUGAUUUAUGAAAAAAGAAUAGAUUUCUGGCAUCUUAUUCUUUUAGGGAAAAUGUCUUGUUUAAGGAGUCGCCACCUAGUAUUAUGGUUACUAGGAACCAUAACUAGUCAACAGAGAUUCUAUGGCUUGGGAUUGGUUACAUAAAAGGAAAGAUAUUAUCACCAUUUAAACGUUCUGCCUGAGGCAGACUUCAUUGCUAGUUUUGUUUUAAAUUGCUAAAUGUUUAUUAGUUUUAUGCUAUGAUAAUUUGCUUAUAAUAUUUCUGACUCUGGUGCUAGAGAAUAUUCACAUAAAAUAAAUUUAUUUUUACACAUGCAUAUUUUUACACAGUCACAGGCUUGACCCGACUGGCCAUUGAAAGCACGCGUGAACUUAUUCAUGCGUGCAUGACCCGGUUAAGUAGUGAAUUAAUUAUAAUUCACUUGCUACAGUAGCAAGUGAAUUAUAAUGCAGGAGGGUAAAGAUGAGGGACGACUUACCUGGUGCAGCAAGGCGCAGCCGGAGACGCUGUGCUGGAUGAACGACGCUGCCUCCUCUUAUUCUUCCUCUCUUCUUCCUUCUCUUCCUCCUUCUCUUCCCCGAUUCGUCCCUGUAUUUCUCUCCUAGAGUGCCCUGUUUCUGGUGCAGUGGCUGCUGAAGAUGGAGCUCUGGAGUUGCUGCUUAUAGAGGCGACGAAAACAGUUGUGACGCUAGUGGUUGCUCUUAUUACUGCUUUCCUUGGUCUUACUUAUGUGCUUCCUCUGCUCAGGACAUCAACGAUGGUGAUGAAGAUGUUAGGUGCUGUCGGUUGAAUGGAAGCUUGCUCCCCUAUUUUAUUUUUCUGCAUCUUCCCUAGUUUUCCUUUCCUAAGUUGUUGCUGUGAUAUUAUUGGAAAAUGAAAACGCAGACGAAGAUGAUGGUCGAUGGUGAUGGAGGUCUGAACCCAGGAGAUGGGGGUUCUUCCCCUGCGUUUUUCUUGUUGUUGUUCGUCUCUGUAUCUUUAUUUUUUGUUCUUUAUUCUGGGUCUCCUUUUCUCUCAGUUUUCCCCCUUGUUCGUUCGUCUCCUCUGUUUCUUUGAGAAGAAACUAGGGGAACGAAAGUCUGCCCUUUCUUUUUCUUAGUCCCUCUCGGUUAUGCCCUCUUCUUUUCUCCCCAUCUCAGUCCCUUGGUUAUGUCAUCCCUCUGUCUACCCUCUCAGCCAUUUUCUUCUUCUCUGGUUUUAUCCCUCUUAGAAUGCCAUGCGGUCGACCGUGCUCUCUGUUUUAAUACAGGAGUAAAGGUAGCAGUUUUCUUUUUUUCGGGUGAAGAAGAUGAACAGUGUUGAAACUUAUUUUGAACUUAUCAAGCCCUUGGAUAAACUUUAAUUGAACCCCUUCAUUUCAAAGAAUUUUACAAACAGUCCCUGGAUUUUAAUUUCUUGCAAAUUUUACCAGAAUCAGCCCUAUACUUUGAUAAUUUUUCAAUUAAACCCCUGAUUUCAUUAAUUAAAUUAAUACCAAUCUCAAUUAAGUCUCAAAACUUUUCAAUUCUCUAAUUAAGCCCUUGAUUGGAUUAAUUAAAUCAAUUUCAAGCUUAAUCAAGUCUCAAAAUUAUCAAUUCUCCAAUAAAAACCCUUGACUUGAUUAAUUAAGCUAGUCAAGAGUUUAAUUAAACCUUUAAACUUCCAAUCACAUUGCCCUUAACCCAAAUUUUAAUUCAUUCUUCAAUUAUUUUAUUUUUUACUUGUUUUUCGUCAUUUGUUUCAUCAUUUUUUCAGUAAAUAAAAUAAUUAAAAUAAAAAAGGUCAAAAUUGAGGUUAUGAUAAGAGUCACCAAAGCACACCCUUGCUUACACCAAAGGAUCACUUCAACCAGAUGGUCUCCCACAUCACAUCUGAAGAGUUAUAAUACUUAUGUCUGAGACACAACAUUCCCUUUCUAGUGUAUCAACCAUGCUCAGUCUGGAAUGAUUUUUCAAGCCUUUCACCAAGGCUUACAACACCCUCUCAAAGAAAUAUUUCCAAGUGCAACAGUCAUUAUCUGAGCAUUUCAAUAUGAUCACAAGCUUACCACUCUUCCAAGAGUUUACUCAUCUAGGAGUUGCGUCUGCCCUCUGUUCCACUCUAGAAACCACACCUUACUUCUCCAUGAGUCUCCUACUCUUAGUCUCAAGAGUCCAGGUAGCUCUCCACCUUUAACUAUGGGGGCAGCCCAUUAAAGAUUGAUCCAUAUCUGUCUUCAUACUCUAAGUAUUACGAUGCCAUCACCGAGCUCACCACCUUGACAAGAGUCAACUUGUUCCAGGAACCUGCGCAUGCCCUCUGCUCCUUCAUAGCAGUAGCGUCUUAAUGUUCCACAAGUCACCCACUUAUUGUCCAAGGCAAAUGUCUUCUAGCUCAUUGAUCUUUAACAUGGGGGUAAUAUCCAUGAAAGUCAAUCAUGCAUUUAUCUUCAUUAUCAUCAUAGCCACUUCAUUGGCUAUACACUUGUCCACUCAUAUCUAGCCAUCACAUCGACUCUGGGGUGUUCUGAACUGGGGCUCCUAUCAUGGCCCUCACACCUUUUUUAAGGUGUUUUCGCAUGUUGUCAUAAGAUAGUAUGAACUGGGGCUCCUAUCAUGGCCUACACACCUUCCAUCUAAGGUGUCUUCGCUCGUCGUCAUGCGAUGGUCUGAAUCUGGGCUCACAUUGUGGCCCUCAUACCUUCUAUCUGAGGUGUCUCUGCUCGUCGUCAUGCGAUGGUCUGAAUCUGGGCUCACAUUGUGGCCCUCAUACCUUCUAUCUGAGGUGUCUCUGCUCGUCGUGGAGCGGUCUCAUCCUCCUUUAUCGGGAUGGUAGUAGUGGCUCCAAGAUUCUCUACCACCAUGUGGACUUGGGAGAGAUUACUGCCACUGAUUACAUAGAAAGAGAAAGUUGCGGUAUACUCCUCGCAAUCCUCCACCUUGAUUUAUAUGUUUGGAGCUUAUACUCCUUUCUGCUUGAUAGCUCUACCUAUACCAACUCUCUUUGGUGUCUUCGCCUUUCAUAGGCGGUCACCUUUUAUCAUAGGCGUUCACACCCCCUUAAUUUGGUGCUUCUGCAAGAGCUCAUCUUUCCAUCCUUGCAUGCACUGGAAAGGUCUUCGCGUGUUGUCUUCAUCAAGAGCACAAGAGACUUCUUGUUGUACACAGUCUCUGCUCUGAGCUUUAUCCGGGAACUAUUCUUCUCCUUGCACCUGUUGUCUCAUUACAGUACCUCGUUGGCUCUUUCGGGUACUCUUGCACAAUCUUAGUGGAAAGGUCUUCGCGUGUUGUCUUCAUCAAGAGCACAAGAGACUUCUUGUUGUACACAGUCUCUACUCUGAGCUUUAUCUGGGAACUAUUCUUCUCCUUGCACCUGUUGUCUCAUUACAGUACCUCGUUGGCUCUUUCGGGUACUCUUGCACAAUCUUAGUGUGCCCUUGUGCGAUUUCUGUUCUUCAGAUUUUCUCCUUAUUCCUUGCUUAUGUUUGACAGCAGCUCAUCCUAUCACAACACCUAUCUAAGUUAAAAUAGGGUGCCAAUCUUUAUCCCCUUGCUGUAUUUCUCUUCCAUUAUCAAGGUCUUCAUCAAUUAUCCCCUUGAGAAAUCACAGUCACCGAAUCUAACUUCUUUGGAGAAAUCACCACUCCAUCAGAUCCUUGAUCAUACGGAACCCAACUGUUCCCCUUAUGCCGUCAUUCUGCUAGUCUUCACCAGUUUCACUACAGACUGUUACAUAUAUGAAAAUGGUACCAUAUGGAUAAUCCUUCAGAAAGAUUGGAGGGGUCACAACGGUCCCGCUUAAAACCCAAUCUCCUAGCUAGAGCUUCUUAGGCCAUAUCUAUCCAUCGUACUGCCUUUCCAUAUAUGCAACCAUUUGCUAGCUUUGUUGCGGCUUUAUUUUAUAAGUGAUAUGGAAUACACACACACGCACACACACAUCAUUUCUCAACAUCUAGUGAGACUACUAGUGCUUAGAUUCGUCAAGAUUGGUCUUCAUCAGUUUUCACGAUCCACCUCAAAUCGUCCACAUGAUCGGGUGUCUAGAGUGUCCCAAUUUUGCCUUCCAUCAAGGCAAUUAAAUUUCCCCACUAAACAAUUCAGCACAUAUAAUUGGACAAAUGUGUGUGACUUCUUCUUCUUCAUCUCCAUCUCCAUCGACCAUCAUCAAGACCUUCAGAUGCCUCCUGAUUGGGCAAUCUCUCUUUAAUAAUUCACCACCACCACUUUCAGUCCAAAUUUCAAUGAUUGGACCGUACCAUUGCAUCCAGAAUAAUCAAAUUAGCUGGAAACAAGUUUUAAAUCGUCCAAAUCGCAUUUCAGACGGCUAAGAUUUGAUCAAAACAAUUCUGGCCUCAUCAACGGCUCAGAUUCAAUCUCAAAUGUGGUUGCACAUAGACUCCACUGCAUAGAAUCCUAUCACUCGACUUGAGGCACGGCUCCAACUCGGCUCAAUCCAGCUUCGCUCGCGGUUGAUGACAUGGCAAGUGGGUCCCACUACGCUGAUGUGUAUGCUGACUGGGCGAUGACAUGGCAUGCCAACUAUGCAUGUUGAUGUCAUCCUCCAUCCGGGUCAGUCGUAUGGGUCUAGUCAUCUGGUAUUCGGGUCGGGUCAGCCCAUCCAGGCGAAGAAGACGUGGCACGCGUGGGGUGCAUUGGCACGUGUGGCCAGGUAGCUCGCCGGCGUGUGGGCGCGCGUGUGGCCAUGCCCGACGUCCUAUUUUGAUGCUGUUUUGACUUUUCACUAGUGGCUUCGUCUCUUCCUCUUCUACACGGUGAUAUGGUCAAAAUACAAUUUUGACAACUUUCAUUUUUGAGCAAAAAUCAAACAUCACUUUAAACCAUAUGCUCUCAUAUCAAUUGUUGGAGAAUUCAACCGGUGAUGUACUGACAGUUGCCCAUUAAAGGCUAAGCACACUGACACAAUAUAUAUUUUUCAGCAUGGUGGGGACAAGAAAGCCAAUUAUGCCACAAUUUGUGCUUCCACUUUGUGCCAAGUGGGUGAUGAGUUGUCCCACUUAUACAAAGUUGGAGUGGGGUAUUUGUCACAACAAUGGCAAUAUCCUAACAUGAACUCAAGUUCAUCACUGUUAUACUCUACUUCACCCUGGACUCCUGUCAGUUGUUUUCCCCUUUCUGCGAGGAAGUCUCCGAGCUUGGUGAGUAAAAAAGUAACCACGCCCUCAGACAUGGAUGGUCUUUUUAGCUUUGCAAUUAGUGUUUUUGAAACUUCAGGGAGUGCAAUAAUGGUGUUUGGAGUUGGGUUUGGCUUGUAACUUUCGAAAGUUAAAUCUGUCUACAUAAUGGCAUUGCAUAGAUAUAUCUGGUAAAUCUGAAUGAGCACUUCCUUCACGAAAAUGAUUUAUAGUAGCCAAUGAGAUGUUUUCUUAAGAGUGCAGGCCACUUCCAAUCACCAUCAGCUAGGCUAAUCUAUAAUUGCUGUCUACAUAGUUUACUAUUUCAAUCUCUAGGCAACUUCUCUGCAAUCGCGUGUCCAUCUGUCUAACCAGUGCCUUAAUCCUUUACUUGAACAACGAAAUUCCUUUUCUCUCUCUCACGGAUAAAAUGCAAAUUAAUAAUUGUUUUUUUUUUUUUUUACCAUGUAGUUUUAGCAAAGAAACUUAAAAAAUUUGUUAUUUUCUUCUCAGAAAUUUAAGACCCCUGCUGUUAUCAGAUACAAAUGGAUUCUUAAGCCCACCUUGCUGAAUGUAAAGAGAUGAGGUGGUUGAGUGUAAAUCUUGCAAUAUAAUGUCUAACCAGCUAGAUUGUUGCGACAUUAGCUGUUUUAAAUUAAUGUAAAACCUGUCCAAUGACUCGAGCUAGUGACACGAUGCUCUCUCACAUGCAGACGAUAGUAUAAUAGAUUGCCGGGUUGUUUGACACAAUUUUCUGUUUCUGUUUCUAUUUCUAUUUUUUAGAAGUGUUUUUUGGCUUGAAAAAAAAACAUUGAAUUGAUGUUUAUUUGUAGUGUUUUCUGCAUCCCUGUACAGAUAACAAGGUAACAUGUGCUUUCUCUGCAUAUUUAGUUGAUAAAUCUGUAAUUCUGAAGUGCCAAGCGGUAUUUACCAUUUGAUGACAAGGAGUUUGGUUUGGAUACUGGUAUCCCAAUUGCAAGUUGGCAUGCUGUUUUCAAACUGAAACUUGUUAAAGUGGUUUCCUUUGUUUUUCCUUGUGGCUUAUUUCACUCCUCAUCUAGGAACACGUAACUCCAUAACCACAUCAGAACCUAACACCAUGGACUGACCUCUAGAGAGCAAGCGGCACAUGGGACUAGACAAGAUAACCCGAGUGUUGAAUUUACUUGUGUCGGCAUUUGGUGCGUGGGCUGCAGGUCAUAGACAUUACUUUUCAUCUUGUGUUCUGUUGUCUCUUCUUGUCCUACCCGGCCUUUAUCCAGUUUCGUUAGCAUAUCAAGCACAUAUGUCUAUAGAUGGAAGCCAAAGAAAGUGCUUAGUUGGUCUCCCUAAACUAAGCUACUGAAAUCCCUUAGAUUUUGCAAAAGAAUAGCUUCUUCAUCAUAGAAUUGAAAAUCUGGAUUGUUGCUUCCAUUUAGGAGUGUUUUUUUUUUUUUGUAUGUCUGUUAAAAUGCAAAUUUGGCACUAGGCUGAUUUCAGAGUUCUGCAAGUUUUGAAUGGUGUUUAUCUCUUCGAAGCUGCAAUCGCAGAAUUUCCUGCCCUUGGAACUCUUUUUAUUUUGGAUUAUGAUUUUGCUUUGUUUGGUUGGUUGUGAGCUAUCUUCUCUUUUGUGGUAUCUUCAUAAACAUCAUAGUUUUUGUAAGGAAAGUUUGAUCACAUUCAUUAAAAAAAAAAUGCUUUCAUUUAUUUACAAUCAACUUCGGAACAUCAUAGUUUCAAGGAAAUUAUGCAACCUCUAGCAUCUAUCACAAAAUUACAGAUGCAAAUCAUGGCUUCCAAUCAGGUUGCCUUUUCAAUAGAAUGUUUGGUCUUGCAUAAUUGUAGUAGAUUUCCCAAUUGCCAUUUUUCUGAUAGGUGCAGUAAAUCUCAGGCACAUUUCGAACCUCAUGAUAAUCUUCACCGUCUCCAUCCGGAUGGAGCCUCCUGAUGAAAUCGUUGGGCAUAUCAAAUGGAAGAAUCUGCAAUAUUUUAAUGAAUUGGACAACGGGCUUUUGGAGAAAAGUCCUUCCCGCUCUCUGUGCAGCUCCAUCAGGCCGUAGCCUCUUGACAAAAUCAUACGGCAUGUCGAAAAAAUCAAGUGCUUUGAGCUUAGCGAGGUGUUUGAUUCCAGAGGGCACCUUCUGCAGUAGUUUACAACCCUGGACAACUAGCUUCUGGAGAGAAGGCAAUGCUCCCUUCUGCACGGUUAUAGAUUUGAGCCGUUCUAAUUUGUUUAGACCCAAAACCUUAAGCUUUUUGAAUCCUUCAUGUCUGAAAUGCAAUGCUUCGCCACUAUAAACUUGUAUAAAUUCAAGGUGCACCAGAUUGGGCAAAUUCUGAAGAAAUAGCAGCGGAUCUUCACGUAAGCGACUCCAUUUUAAAACCAACUUGACCAAACUAUCAAGUGACAGUAUCCAGUCUGGUAACCUCUCUAAACGUCCUGUCAAGUAUAGUCGCUGAAGAAAUUGAGGAGGAGAAGAUAAGUACUCCAGAUCAAUGACCUCGCUCUCUGUUAUUGAAGUAACAGACAAUGCACGAAGGUUCGUCAGCUUAUCAAUGGAGGAACAUAAAUCCCUCCCAUCUUCCUUCCGGAACUUUAUAAUGCCUAACCUUCUCAAAUGAAUCAAUCUUCCCAGUUCUGACAUCAGUUUCUGGCCUUGAUCUGCUUCUAGGAAGCAAAGCUUUUGUACUGAAAGUAGAUUUCCUAUCUGAGCUGGUGCCUUGAAACCGUGUUUGUUGCGAAUUUGAUCAUCAGACUCAUGAGUUUCAUAGCGAUACACUAGCAGGUGGCGAAGCUUUUGGAGCUUCAGAAUGUCAACAGGCAACUCAGUGACCUGGGCAUGCUUCAAAUCCAAACUUUCCAGGUUCUGAAGCUUGCUAAUUGAGCUCGGAACGGAAUUCACCAUGGUAUUCCUCAAACUUAGGUACUUUAAAAAGAUGAGGCUGACCACUUCAUUUGGAAAUUCCUUUAAAGGCGUGCCUUCCAUAUCUAACACGGUAAGCAGCCUUGAACGACUAGAAAGCGAAAUAAAUUUAGGAGGCCUGGGAAAAGAAUCUAUUCCCCAGAACACCAACAAUGAACGGAGGCGAGAUGCAACAUGUAUUUGUCGCACGCUUGGCAUGGCGUUAUGUAUCGAUACACGGCGGACCUUUUCAGACCAACUCAUGUUCUGUUCCUUGGCUAUCGCAACGAAAUCUUGCUCUUUUGCCUUUGUAAUCAGUAUCUCACGGAGAAGGUCGUGGAUGCGGCAUGUUUUAACUUGUCCAUAACUGGUUGCCUCUACCACUUGGACCAAACUUCUUUUUGAGCUCAUUCAAAAAAUCUUCUGCAACCUCCUCUAAUGUCAUUCCCUCCCUUCCUUUCACAAACCCUUCUGCUAUCCACAAUCGAAUAAGUCUCAUACGCUGAAUCGGUAUGCCCUCAGGGAACAUGCUGAAGUACAACAAACAGGAUUUGAGAUAAUAAGGUAAAUCAUAGUAACUGAGUGAUAGUAUCUUCAACGCAUUCCUCAUUCUGUUGUUGUCUUCGAAUCCAGCACCAAGACUAAGGUACACCAUUUCCCAUUCAUCUAUUUUACUCCUGUCCCUCGUCGCAAGAACACCACUCAUAGCCUCAAUAGCAAGCGGCAGUCCUUCACAUCUUCCCAGAAUUCUUUCUGAAACGUUCUUCAAAUGUGCUGGGCAGUGGCUGUUUUGAAAUACCUUCUUGCAAAACAAAGUCCAAGACUCUUCUGGAGAUAAUGGAUCCAAACUGUACACUUUAUCUGGGAAUUCUAUGCAGGCAGUAAGGGCUACUUCAGUUUUUCGCGUUGUCAGCAAUAUAUGGCUACCACGACUGUUGUUUGGGAACACAGGUUCAAAAGCAUCCCAGGCAUCAGUAUGCCACACAUCAUCUAGCACAAUGAGAUACCUUUUUUGCUGAAGGAAUCUAUUGAUUACCGUCUUUAGCCUAUCGUUGUCCAUGUUGUCCACUCCUUGAGGAACAUUUUUCUGGAGCACACGGAAGAGCUGUUGAAUUAUAUCUUUUAGAAGGUCCUCUUCCUUGAAAGAUGGAGAGAGGGUGAUCCAAACCCUGAAUUGAAAGUGUUUCUUUACAUCUGCAUCAUGAUAUACUUUGCUCACCAAUGUGGUUUUACCCAAACCACCCAUUCCAACCACUGAGAUCACUUCACGUUCGGAUCUGCCUCUGACAAGCCACUCAAUAAGAUGCUUUUUGGGCUUUUCAAUGCCAACUAUAUUUGCUUCUUCAACUAUAUUCCCUGGCCUGGCCACCCUUGGUGUGUGGGUGGAGCUCGAGCUUGGCUCCAUUAUGUUGUUCCUGAUUAAAUAUCUCCGAUGUGCCUCUGAGAUAUUUAUAACUCGGCUUUUGAGUGCUUGGAUUUUUGAAGCAAUUUGAUGCCUAGCUUUUAAAGUGAUGAUGGAGUUGGAAAUUGUUUGAACAGAAGAACAGAACUUAACCCCAUGAUCAUGUGUGAGACGCAGCCUGAAAUGAUCAAGAGUAUCUUCCAUGUCAUACGCAACAUCUCUCACUUUCUGCACUAACACUUUAAGUCCAUCAUCUUUCUCUUCCAUCGCAUCUGCAGCUCUUAGAAAGACCAGCAUGAACUCUAGUUCAUCCCUGAUGUACUCAGCUUCUGCCUUAGCACCUGUCAACAGUCGCUCCUCUUCUCGGAUAAAAUCUGCGAGCUUACUGAGUAAGAAGGUCACCAAACCUUCUGUCAUUGUCAACCGGCUCUUUUCUUUCUGUUGUAACUUGAUGUUUGUUUUAACCACCGGAUUUAGUUCAAUGGUUACUGUCUCUUAUAAAGGAGAAGAUCCCGGGUUCAAAAGCGGAAUCAGGUGGGAUAGUAAAACGGCUUAACAAUGAGCCAAAGGACUCUAAAGUAUAAAUGAAAAAACUAAAUUUGAGUUAAGAUUUGCUUUGGAUACAAAAUAAAGAGAAUUUAUUUUUUCUGGUUGAAUGAGAAAAUAUUUUCCAUGCCUCUUUAUCAAAGUUAAGAGACGAUUGGGAGUUUUUCAGGGUUCAUUGUCUGCGGGAAGAGAGACACAAUGUGGUGGUAAGAAGGUUUGCUUUCAUGGUUUCAGGAUAAAUCUCAGGUUAGGAUAUUGCUGCUCUUGAGUGUAAAGCAUUCAAGAAUGGUGAUCGGAGAGGAGUUGAUUUGUGAUUCUAAAUGUUGCAGCUUGUAUUAUAUAUACAGUUUGAUCCAGCAGUGCUUGGUCAACUAGCCAUGCUUGGUAAAUAAUUGCUUUAAAGAUGUAUCCAAUGAUUUGUUUGCUUGAGAGCAUAGGUUAGUCCCAACCUCCAUCAGCAAGAAUAUUCUGCUAUUCUCGUUGACAUCAUUUACCACUUGCAGAUACCUUGUCCCUAAUCCUGUAACACAACGAUGCAAGUAGCAAGAUGCCCAUGUUCUGACCUUUCUUUCUUUCUUUUGCGUGUAUGCUUGUUAUGAUUUUUUUUUUAUUUCAACAAAUCACAAAGAAAUUCUAUAAAUUCCUCUCUUUACUAAAGAAAAUUGGGACUCAAACAAGUAGCGGGAAUCUUUCAAAUCCAAACCUUGCAUUCUCAGCAGAGCAAUUAUUUUACAAGGUGUUGUCUUUUGGAGUUUAAAUAAAUCAUCGAGGAAAGUUCAGACAGCUUUCCAUCACUUACAACCGCAGAUUGACGAUUUCAAGCUUCAGCACUGCUAUGGCCUGUCAUUGCCACUGCUACCAGAUUCAACCUUCAGCAUUGCAUGACAACUAGAAAAAGAUUCUUCUCCCAUCAUCACCAAUUCUGCUGAAUAUGAAAUAUCAACUACAAGCUCAUUACUUCUGACAUUACUGAUUCAACUGAUUAUGAAAUAUCAACCAGGAAAAAAUAAAUAGAUUGUAUUCUAUUAGAGGGUACAAAAAGACUGCUGGUUGACUUGUGAACAAAUAAUUAAUGUUGUUCUUUACUCCUGAAAUAGCUGGCAUGAUUAUUACAAUCACACGCGUUGUCAUAUUUAAUCUAUACAUGACAAUCAUUGAUCUUUUCAAGUUGAUCUUCCUUAACAUAAUAUGAUCCUUCUAAUCUUGUUAUUUUUCUUAUCGUUUUUAACAUCUUCCCUCAAGAUGGAGAGUGGAUAUCAACAACUCCCAACUUGCUUGUAUUUUGUCACAGAUAAAAUGACAUUUCACUUCUAUAUAUAUAUGCCUGGUUCUUUCAUGAAAAACACAAUUGGUUGCUAUAUAUAAGGCUGCUUUAUUACUGCAAUAUAACAAUGUGGGUUUUGAAUGCAAUAUUCACAAAUCUUUAAGCCAAGAUAAUUCACAAGAAGUACCUAUCAUGGCUCCAUAUUUGGCCUCUACUAAGGAUAAAGAUAUGGUUUUUUGCUCCUUAAUUUGUCCAUGAAAUAAGAUACAAUCCAAAAAAAGAAUAUCAUCAGCAUAUAUUAUUGAAGGCCGUAAAGGAUUUGCUUUUUCGACAUGUGAAAAAUAAGUAAUCUACUUUGGAUUGAACAAAUCUAGCAGCUUUUAUAGCUAUACAAAACUCGAAAAAAUAUUGACGGAAGAUUGUUUAAAACUAUAUAACGGCUUGUUGAGGUGACACACUAGAUUCUUCCCAUGUUAUUGAAGACCAAGAGGUGGAGAUAUAUAAAUUUCUUCAUGUAUAUCACCGUGAAGAAGAGAACUGUUUGUAAAGAUAACAUAAUUGAAUGAAAGUUUUAAGAAGAGAAAUGAAGAAUGCAGAGAGAGCGGAGCAGUUGACGAAAGAAGAUGAAUUUUAUUCAUUGUAUUUUCCUUGCAGUUGUUAUGUUAUUGGAGUUGUAUUUAUAGCUGAUCUAUAGACGUAAACUAGCUUCUUUCUUCAAUGAUUGACAGUUUUUCUAACCUUUUUUCUAACUGUUUCUAACUGCCUAACAGUAUUAACAUCUUUAACUGUCUAACAAAAUAUUAACCACUUCAUCACGUAAUCUCUUGACAUGUGGCAUCAUCUUGAUCGUUGAUAUCUUUACAUUCCCCAGCAAUCGUAUGCAUGGAAGAACCAAGCAUAAGAUUGGAGCAAUGGUGAUGAAACAAUAUAGAAGAAAGACCCUUAGUAAGGAUGUUAGCAAACUGAUCUGCAGAAGAAACAUGUUGAACAAUCAAGUCACCGUUGAUGACACGUUCUCUAACAAAGUGAUAAUCAAUCUGGAGAUGCUUCAUCCUGGAAUGAAACAUUGGAUUGGAAGCGAGAGAAAUAGUAGAGAUAUUAUCACAAUGAAUUAAAGGCGAAAUAAGCAAUGGAACAUGCAUAUCACAGAAGAGUUGACGAAUCCAUGUUAGCUCAGCAACAGCAAUAGCAAGAGCUAGAUAUUCAGCCUCAGUAGACGAGCGUGAGACAGUAUAUUGCUUCUUAGAAGCCCAUGAAAUAGGACUAGAUCCCAAGUAAACAACAAAACUAGAAACAAAACGACGAUCAUUGGGAUCACCAGCCCAAUCAGCAUCACUGUAUGCUUGCAAAUUAAGGGUUUCAGGCUGAAAAUGAAUGCCAUAAUCAAGAGUACCCCUAAGAUAUCUCAAGAUUCGUUUGACUGCAACAACAUGAGAUUCCAUGGGAUGAUGCAUGAAUUGGCAAGCUUGAUUUACAGAGAAGGCAAUGUCAGGACGUGUGAAGAUUAGAUACUGUAAAGCUCCAACAAUACUUCUAUACUGUUGUGGACGAGAAUAAGGCUUCCCAUCAUCCUUGAGCAGGUGAUGAUAGUGAAGACAAUGAGUGGCACAUGGCUUUGAAUUUUGUAAAUCAACCUGAUCAAGCAAUUCCUUGAUAUGGUUAGAUUGAGAGACAAACAAGCCAGAGGAAGAAUAAGAAACCUGCACUCCCAAGAAAUAUGUCAACGAGCCUAAAUCCUUCAUAUCAAAUUCCUGAGUUAAGGCAUCAAUGACUGAUGUAAGAAGAGAUGAAUGACUGCUUGUGAGAAGAAUAUCGUCGACAUAAAGCAAUAAUAUCGCAGUACCAUGAGAGGAAUAUAAGGACGAGGAAACUUGUAAACUGUCAUUCCAGGCACGAGGAGCCUGCCAUAUAAGGACUUGCAGAGUUUGUAAACAAAGUCAAGAUAAAGCUUGCUUGUAAAACCUUGUGGCUGAGCCAAAUACACCUCAUGAAGAAUUCCAUGUAGAAAUUCAUUUUUAACAUCAAGUUGCCUUAAAGGCCAAUGAAACUGAGCUGCAAGGGCCAACACCAGCUGAAUAGUAGUUGGUUUCACUACAGGACUAAAUGUUUUAUUAUAAUCAAUGCCCUUUUCCUGACUGAACCCUUGGCAACAAGGCGUGCCUUAUGCCUAGCAAUAGAGUCAUCUGUAUUUUUCUUGAUACUAUAAAUCCAUUUAUAGCCUACAAGAUUCUUGGCAUGUGGCAGGGGAACCAAAUCCCAGGUACCCUGGGCAUGGAGAGCAUUAAUUUCUUCUUGCAUAGCAGAAUGCUAGAUAGCAUUUUUUGAGGCAAUCUUGAAUGUGCUCGGUUCAACUGGAGAAAAAUCAUAAGAUUGAAUAGUAGUGGAAUAAGCUUUCCUUUUGGAGAUACCAUUCUUGGACCUAGUUGUUAUGGGAUGAAUAUUCAUAGGGGACAGAGGUAAGACAACACAAAGAUUCUCAGGAUGAAAAUCAAGAUCCUCAGGAGGAGAAAAUUAUGUAGUAGAAUCCAAUCCUGACAGAGGUGAAGAGAUGAUGGGAGAAGACAAUGUGUCCAAAGAGACAGCAGGGCUCAUGGUGGAUGAUGAAGUAGAGCACUCAAGCAAGACCACAUUGUGUAAUGAAAUAGAAGGUGGAACAAGAGGAGAUAAAUGAGAAGUAGAAGAAGAAGUUGUAGGCUAAGAGAUGUAUGGAAAUACAGACUCAUAAAAAAUAACAUGACGAGUCACAAAACAUUUAUGAUUUCGAAGAGAAAAACAGACAUAUCCCUUGUAUUGACCUACAUAUCCCAAAAAAAAUACAGGUGGAAGUUUUAGGUUGAAGUUUGUGAGUGUUGUAAGGCUUGAGGAGAGGAAAACAUACACAACUAAAGAUCUUUAAAUGAGUGAGGACAAGUAUAGAACCAUAUAGUAAAAGAUAAGGAGACUUCAGCUAAAGAAUUAGAUAAGGCAUCCGGUUAAUCAAAUAGAUGGAAGUAGCACAAGCAUAAAACCAAAAUUUAGAAGGGAGAUGAGCAAUUUGUAAUAAAGUGAUUGCUAUUUCUAGAAUGUGGUGAUGCUUCCUCUUAGUAAGACCAUUAUGUUCAGGGGUGUAUGGACAAGAUAUGUGAUGAACAAUGCCUUUAGUAAAGAGAUACUGCUUGAAGGAAUGAUUGAGGUACGCACCACCACCAUCACUCUGAAAAAUGCGGAGAUUAGCAGAGAACUGAGUGACCAAGAAAGCAUGAAAUGAAAUGAAGAUGGAAUAAACUUCUCCUUUAUUUCUCAUUGGAAAAAUCCAAGUGAACUAAGUACAUGCAUCAAUGAAGCUAACAUAGUAACGAAAACCAUCAAUGGAAAUAGUAGGAGAAGGACCCCAUACAUCACUAUGAAUGACUUCUAAAGGUGUUGCAGACUUGAUUGCUGGAUAAGGGAAAGGAAGUUUUGCAAAUUUUCCUUCUAAACAGGCAAUACAGAUGGAUUUAGAAUGGUCUGCAGUAAAAGGAAUCUUGGAUUGAUGUAAAAAGGCUGAAGUGAUUUUGUUAGAAGGAUGGCCAAACCGCUUGUGCCAGAGACUUGUGUUUACUUGAUGACCAAGAUAGUAGAAUUGAUUCUUUGAAAGGGAGAAGGACUGUGAUAGUCGAGAGUGUGGGAUGGAUAAAAGGAUAGGAUAUAAACCAUCUUUACACAAUCCCUGAAGAAGAACCCUCCCUGUAAGCUUAUCCUGAAUGCAAAAACCAAAGGCAUCACAAAUAAAACAGCAAUUUUUGUCUUUACAUAACCUACGAACUGAUAGCAAGUGUUGUGAUAGCUUAGGCACAUGCAGAACUUGUGGUAAUUGGAAUGGGCAUUGUGGAACAUUCAGAAUAGAAGAGCCAACAUUAGAAAUACUCAAAUCUGAACCAUCUGCAGUAGAAAUAGUGUCUGAUCCUGAGAAAGAAGUGGCUGAAUUGAGUUGAGCUAGAUCAGAAGUCAUAUGAGUAGUUACUUUAGUAUCAGCAACCCAAAAUUGCUUAGUAGAAUCAGAAGAAGGAAAAUUUGUAUGCAUUGCACUGAGAUUAAUGGACGGUGGUUUGCCUUGAUAAGAAAAAUAGCCUUUGUGAUAGCACUGGAUAGUCGAAUGGCCAAAUUUCCAACAAAUCUGACAUUGGACUGAAGAGGUAGAAGAAGGUGAUUGAUUAUGCCGUUGAUAGCAAUCAGCAGCUACAUGUCCUUUCUUAUUACAGAUUUGGUAGAUGGGAAUGAAAAUACCUGGACCAAGAAUACCAGGACUAGAAAAGGCACUUGAUGAGGUCAUGGACCAAUUUGAUAAUGGCCACGACUGCGACCACGUCCUUUAAAAUAAGAGCCUCUAUUGUUAGAGUGGCCAUUAAUGGUGAACAUGGUAUUUAGACCAUUAAAACCACCUGUAGAGCUAUGAAAACUUCCAUGAUGACCAUUAAAACCCCCAUUCAAUCCAGAAGACAGGUGAGAUGAUAGGAAGGUCUUCGAGUUUGAAGAGUAUCCCUGAGGUUGAAGGUAAGAAUGAGAAGGAGAAGAUUUUGCAUCAAGAACAAAAGUCUUGCCUUGAAAUGUUUGAUUUUGAACCAACAUUAUAGAAACAAAGGGAGAUGCAGAUUGAGUAUGCUCAAGAGUGGCUUCUUCAGCAAGUAAUUGAGAUCAAAAAUCUUUAAGAGAUAAAGUAGUAUCUCUGCCUCUAAUCAUACAUCUGAAAGUGUUUUAAUCAGACGGCAGGCCAUUGAGAGCCAAGAUCACAAUGUCAUCAUCCUAAAAAAAGACUCCUGCUGCAGAAAGAUGAUCUCUCGCAUCUUCAAUUUUUUGCAGAUAAUGAGAAACUUGUCUUGAUCCCUUCUUAAUAUUUUGAAGCUCACUUUUCAUCUGGAAAAUGCGUGCUUUGGUGACCGUAGAGAAUCAAUCCUUCAGCUGAAUCCACAUAUCAUUGGCACUUACACAUCCAAUAACAUAAUAAAGUGUAGUAGAGGAAAGAGUGGCAAUGAGAAACUGCAUUAAUGCUCGAUCAUGCAUUUUCCAUACCUGAUAUUCAUCAGAUUCGACUCCCUCAAGGUCAGAGUCUGCAUUAAAUCGGCUAAGACACUGCUUUGAACCAUCAACAAAACCUAAAACACCAUGGCUUUCAAGAAGGAUUUGCAUAUGAAAAUUCCAUGUGAGAUAAUUGGUAUCAUCAAGCUUAACUGCUACAGCAGUAGCAACUGUAGAAAGUAUGGAAGUUAUAGGAGAUUGGACGAUCUGGAGUUGAGAAGAUGUCACCAUUUUAUUUUAUUUUUUUGGAAUGCAGAAACAGAGAAGCAGCUGAGAAGAGUUUUUUGAUGAGAGAAGAGAAGAAAUGAAGUCAGUGUAAGAUGUGCGGAAGCAGAGGAUUAGGAACUAUGCUCUAAUACCAUGUAAAGAUAAUAGAAUUGAAUGAAAGUUUUAAGAAGAGAAAUGAAGAAUGCAGAUAGAGCAGAGCAGUUGACGAAAGAAGAUGAAUUUUAUUCACUGUAUUUUCCUUGCAGUUGUUAUAUUAUUGGAGCUGUAUUUAUAGCUGAUCUAUAGACGUAAACUAGCUUCUUUCUUCAAUGGUUGAUAGUUUUUCUAACUGUUUUUUUAACUAUUUCUAACUGCCUAACAAUAUUAACAUUUUUAACUGUCUAACAUAAUAAUGACCACUUCACCAUGUAAUCUCUUGACAUGUGGCACCAUCUUGAUCAUUGAUAUCUUUACACUGUUGACAUCAAGGUGGCGAAGGGACUAAUUAUGUGCAACUUCCAAAGCUAGUAGACACCAAAUUGGAGUGCUUCAUGAAAUCGAAUUGGAAUCUUUAUCCCUUUGAUGUUCUAAGAGUAUCAACGAAUUGUAUGGUAUGUCGACAUGUAUGUGAUUAAUUUGAUUGGCUAAUUGAGUGGUUCCUGAAAUCUAAAUGGCUCUAAAUCUAUCUCUCAUUGCAUCAUUUUGUUGUCUUCCAUCCUGUUGGGAAAUCCGACCGGUGAUGUACUGAUAAUUGCUCAACGGAGGGGAAGCACACUAAGACACAGUAUUUAACGUGGUUUGGCCAAACCGCCUACAUCCACGAGAGAGUCAAUAUUAUUUAGAGAUAGAGAAAGAUUUACAACACACAUGGAGGAGGAGGAUCACUACACUCUACUCUACUCCCAGCACUCAUUGCUGCAAUGGCAGCAGGGUUGCUGCCCAUGACAACAGCUCCUCUUUCUCUCUUCCUCUAUAUUGCACUCACAUGCUUUCUCACAACUCUCUCAUUUUGCUCUCUAAAAUCAUGCCUCUUUUAUGGGCAUCAAUGGUAGCUUCUCUUACUCUUUUGUCAAUAAUGGUGGCUGUCAAAGUCAAGGUUGGUGGCUGUCACCAACAAGCCACCAUUGUAGCCUCCUCCUUUGACUCUCACAUGGCAGCCAUCUUCUUUGAUAAUGGCAGCCACAUAAAUGGCAAUAUUCCAACAAUCACCCCCUUUGCCAUUUAUAUGGGGCAACUGUCCUCUUGCUUCUUCAGCACAAGCUUGCAUCUUGCAGCUAUUCCAAGCUUACCAUUCCGAGAGCGUCUGUGGCCAAGUUUAUAGGUACUCGCCAAACCUGUCAAUCACCAGAGUUACCAAAGCACACCCUUGCUCACACCAAAGGAUCACUACAACCAGAUGGUCUGCCACAUCACAUCUGAAGAGUGUUAAUGCUUGUCUCUGGGACACAACAUUCCCCUUUGAGCUUAUCAACCGUGCUCGGUCCGGAAUGAUUUAUCAAGCCUCAUACCAAGGCUUACAACACCCCCUCAAAUGGAAAUUUCCAUUUCCAAGUGCGACAGUCAUUAUCCAAGUAUCUCAAUAUGAUCACGAGCUCACCACUCUUCCAAGAGUCUACUCAUCUAGGAGUUGCGUAUGCCCUCUAUUCCACCCUAGGCCUUACUUCUCUGUGAGUCUCUCGCUCUUAGUCUCAAGAGUCCACGUAGCUCUCCACCUUUACCUAUGGGGCCAGCCCAUUAAAGGUUGAUCCAUAUAUGUCUUGAUACUGUGAGUAUUACAAUGCCUUCACCGAGCUCAUCACCUUGACAAGAGUCAACUUGUUCCCGGAACCUGCGCAUGCCCACUGCUCCUUCAUAGCAGUCGCGUCUUAAUGCUCCACAAGUCAUCCACUUAUUGUCCAAGGCAAAUGUCUUCUAGCUCAUUGAUCUUUAGCAUGGGGGCAAUAUCCAUGAAAGUCAAUCCUGCAUUUGUCUUCAUACUCAUCAUAGCCACUUCAUUGGCUAUACACCUGUCCACUCAUAUCUAGCCAUCACAUUGGCUCUAGGGCGUUCUGAAUUGAGGUGUCUCCGCUCGUCGUCAUGUAGCAGUCUGAAAUGGGGCUCCUAUCACGGCCCUCACACCUUCUCUAAGGUGUCUUCACCUGUUGUCAUGGGUGGUCUGAACUGGGGCUCCUAUCAUGGCCCACACACCUUCCAUCUGAGGUGUCUUCGCCCGUUGUCAUGGGCGGUCUGAACUGGGGCUCGGCUCCUGGCCCUCACACCAUCCGAGGUGUCUCCGCUCGUCGUGGAGCGAUCUCAUCCUCCUUUAUCUGGGAUGCUUCAAAGUGGCUCCAAAGUUCUCUACCACUAUAUGGACUUGGGAGAGAUUAUUACCACUAACUAUAUAGAAAGAGAAACUUGCGGUAUACUCCUCGCAAUCCUUCACCUCGAUUUCUAUGUUUGGAGCUUUUACGCCUUUCAUCAUUGCGCUUAACAGCUCCACCUACACCAACUCUCUUUGGUGUCUUCGCCUUUCAUCAUAGGCGGUCGCCUUUUAUCACAGGCGUUUGCACACCCUCAAUUAGGUGCCUCUACAACAGCUCAUCUUUCCAUCCUUGCAUGCAUUGGAAAGGUCCUCGCGUGUUGUCUUCAUCAAGAGCACAAGAGACUUCCUGUUGUACAAGUCUCUGCUCUGAGCUUCAUCUGGGAACUCUUCUUCUCCUUGCACCUGUUGUCUCAAUACAGUACCUCGUUAGGAUCCUACGGGUACUCCUGCACAAUCUUCGUGUGCCCUCGUGCAAUAUCUGUUCUCCAGAUUUCUCCCUAUUCCUUGCUUAUGUUUGACAGCAGCUCAUCCUGCCACAACAUUUAUCCAAGUCAAAAUAAGGUGCCAAUCUUUAUCCCCUUGCUGUAUUUCUCUUCCAUUAUCAGGGUCUUCAACAAUUCUCCCAUCGAGAAAUCACAGUCACCGAAUCUAGCUUCUUCGGAGAAAUCACCACUCCAUCAGAUCCUUGAUCAUACGAAACCCAAAUGUUCCCCUUGUGCCGGCAUCCUGCUAGUCUUCAACAGUUUCAUUACAAACUGUUACAUAUACGAAAAUAGUACCGUAUGGAUAAUCCUUCCACUAAGCAAGUUCCCAGGAAAGAUUGGAGGGGUCACAACGGUCCCGCUUAAAACCAUUCUAUCCAUCGUACUGUCUUUCCGUAUAUACAACCAUUUGCUAGCUUUGUUGCGGCUUUCCUUUACAAGUGAUCUGGAAUAUACAGUUUAAUACAUGAUUUCUCAACAUCUAGCGAGACUACUAGUGCUUAGAUUCGUCAAGAUUGGUCUUCAUCAGUUUUCACUCUCCACCUCAAAUUGUCCACAUAACCGGGUGUCCAGAGUGUCCUAAUUUUGCCUUCCUUCAAGGCAUUACAUUUUCAUUUAACAGUUCAGCACAUGUAAUUGGGAAACAUGUGCACCUUCUUCUUCUUCAUCUCCAUCGACCUCCAUCAAGACCCUCAGAUGUCUCUUGAUUAGGCAAUCUCUCUUUAAUAAUUCACCACCGCCAUUUUUGGUCUCGAAUCUCAAUGAUCGGACCGUACCAUUGCAUCCAGAAUGAUCAAAUUAGCUGGAAACAAGUCUGAAAUAGUCCAAAUCACAUUUCAGACGGCUAAGAUUUGAUCAAAACAAUUCUAGCCUGAUCAACGGCUCAGAUUCAAUCUCAGAUCUAGUUGCACGUAGACUGCGCUACACAGAAUCAUAUCCCUCGGCUCGACUCCACUCGGCUCGAGGCUGAUGACGUGGCAGAUGGGUUCCACUUAUACUGACGUGGCUCUAACAUGUGAUGACAUGGCAUGCUGAUUAUGCAUGAUGACGUCAUCAUUGCUUCAUGUUGAUGUCAUCCUGGGCCAUGCUACUAUGCUGAUGACGUCAUAAUUAUGUCAUGUUGAUGUCAUCCUUAUCUGGGUCAGCCACGUGGGUCGGGUCGUCUGGUAUUCGGGUCGGGUCAGCCCAUUCGGGCGAAGAAGAUGGUGUGACGCGUGGCACGCGUCUGCCCGCGUGGCCAGCCACCCCGCCGGCCACGUUCGAUUUUGAUGCGGUUUUCAACAGUGGCUUCGUCUCUUCCUCCUUUACAGGGUGGUAUGGUCAAAACACAAUUUUGACAACUUUCAUUUUUGAGCAAAGAUCAAACACCACUUCAAACUAUAUGCUCUGAUACCAAUUGUUGGGAAAUCCGACCGGUAAUGUACUGAUAAUUGCUCAACGGAGGGGAAGCACACUGAGACACAAUAUUUAACGUGGUUCGGCCAAACUGCCUACAUCCACGGGAGAGUCAAUAUUAUUUAGAGAUAGAGAAAGAUUUACAACACACAUGGAGGAGGAGGAUCACUUCACUCUACUCUACUCCCAGCACUCAUUGCUGCAAUGGCAGCAGCUCCUCUUUCUCUCUUCCUCUCUAUUGCACUCACAUGCUCUCUCACAACUCUCUCAUUUUUCUCUCUAAAAGCAUGCCUCUUUUAUAGGCAUCAAUGGUAGCUUCUCUUACUCUUUUGUCAACAAUGGUGGCUGCUAAAUUCACCUCUUCUUCAACAAUGGUGGCUUUCAAAGUCAAGGUUGGUGGUUGUCACCAACAAGCCACCAUUGUAGCCUCCUCAUUUGACUCUCACAUGGCAGCCAUCUUCUUUGACAAUGGCAGCCACAUAAAUGGCAAUAUUCCAACACAUCCAAACUACAAGCGAAGGGCCGUAGAAGAAGACUUUGAAAUGGUCAAUGAAAAUGAAGGUCAACUAAGCAGGUGAACACCCAAGUCUUUCUACAACCCCCCUUCUUUCAAUGAAAUUACAACACCCAAGUCUUUCUACAAGCAAAGGGCUUGUACAAAUCUUGAUUUAAUGGUAGUUUCUUAGAAAUGAGCUCCUUCCUUUUUCUUUUUUUCUUGGCUUUUAAGAAAUCAUCAUUUGGCUGUAAUGAUAGUAGCAAUGUUGUAGUGAGUAACGAUGAUAAGGGAUAGAAUUGCAAAUAGAAUACCAUCCACGUACCUUUUUAUGAACUAGAUGAUGAAGGUGACAAAUGAUCGGGAAACAUCACUCGGUUGCAGACAUAGUCACGCAAAUAUAUAUAUAUGAGAGGAAUAUGUGGUCGUGGAGGAUGAUGUUGAAGGAGUAUGUAGCUAGGUUCAACAUGGCUCAAAGCAGAAAGCGGAUCUGAAUAUGAAACAUAUUGGCCUAAGUACUCUAGUACUGCUAUUGGAGGCACCAAUUCAGAUGGUUGUGUUUGUUGGACGUUUGAAAAUGGGCAUUAAAGGCAUAGUUUUGAAACCCGAUCUAGCCCGGCAGGUCGCCCCGAGACCCAGCUGACCCCAGGCUGAAACCGGGUCGGGUUUAAGCAAAAUUAGAGGAAGUCAAAACCCAGGAUGACCCGGUAACCCAGCUGACCCGACAAGACCCGGUCAAAAACCCGAUUGCAACUCGUUGAUUUUUAUUUUUUUACUAAAACGAUAUCGUUUUGAUUUUUUAAAAAAAUCAGGAUUGAUCCUAGCGACCCGGUCAAAACCCGUAAGCCGCGCCCUGGGCCAGGUCGACCACCGGGCCGGGUUUAAAAACUUUGAUUAAAGGAAUAGACUUCAUAAGGAAUAUUAUCUUCAUGAAAAAUAACAAUAUUAUUAUUAUUAUUAUUAUUAUUAUUAUUAUUAUUAUUAUUAUUAUGAGAUCAACCUUUUUCUUUACCGUUCACUCUCUUACAAAAACAUUGUGCAUUGAAGCAAUGUUUUUUUUUUUUUUAAUUUGGUCCUCAAAUUUUUAUUUUGCGUGAUUUAGCUAUUUGAGCCCAAAUUAGCCCCUAAUUGCAUAUUUUUUAAAGAAGAAGGUUGAAUUCAAAGACACGGAGAUGUAGUAGAAAUUAAGGGUAUUUGUUGUGGAAAUUUAUUUUCAUCCCUCAUCUUUUUAAAAUAUUAGGUUACCGAUCCUUGUAAUUUUCAAACAUUCCAUUUUGGUAAAAAAAAAAAUAUUUUUUCAUUAUUUUCCAGACCUUUUUAUGUUAGAGGAGAGACAGGGAGUCGUCGAAUUCCUGCGUGGAGAGAGAAAGUUAUCAUUGGUUACUAUUUUGGCCACUAAAAUAGUCAUUCUUUGUAUCCUAUGGUUCCAUAUGAAGAGGGGAUUACGAUUAAGUGUUCUUUUUUUUUACCUUGAAAUUACUUAAAAAAAGAUUUGGGCUAGGGAAGAUUUUUGGGUUUUAGGUUGAUUGAGGGUUUUGGACUGGGUUUUUGUGGUUUUAGAGGCUAUGGAUUAGUUUAACAUGGUUCUUGGGGUAUUUUCUAGGUGUUUUGAGUAAAAAAUAGGUUGAAAAUAAGUUUUUGGGUAAAAAACAAAAGCCUUUUUUUUCCUGGGGUUCGUGGACGAUACAUUUUUUUUUUGGAAAAUGUUUGGGGUGGAUGACGCGUCCUCGGCCCCAUUAAACUUAAAAAAAUAAAAGGUCCGUGUGUGCAGGCCAUAGCUUUAUGGGCCCAGUGCUAGACCUGACCUAAUUCUUUUCUUAAAAAAAAAGAUGUUUUUUUUAAUUGAUGCCUUAUUUUACAUGAAUUUUUAAAAAUAAGUUUUUGGUAUAUAAUUUAAUUAAUAUCCAUUUUUUGUGAUUUUUUCUGCUUAUUUAGCCUUUUUUUGGAUUGUGAUUUUUUUUUAAUGAUAGUGGACGUGUUUAAUUUUUAAAGAGGUUGGUAUGAUUCAUAUGUAAGUUUAAAAAAAAAAAAAUUAUAUAGAUUGAAUUUUUUAAAAACAAUAAUUGAUUUUCUUAUAAUAUUUUUAAUACGUGCAACCUUAUAUAAUAUUUUUUUUCUUUUAUUUUAUUCAUGCAAUCUGAAAAGUUAACAAGGAUUGAAAUCUUUUUUUAUCUUUUUUUUUUCUAAUUUCAUUAUUUGACAUUCUGUUUUAGUUUUUUUUUUUGUGGUUACCUCAUAUUUUUAUUAUAUUAUUAAAUUAAUAAAUAUUUAACCCAAUUAUCAAAUUUAUUUUACAUGUAUAAGUAUAAAUCUUUAUAUAUAAAGAAGUAAAAAAUAAAGUAAAACUAUAUCUAGGGUCCUUUACAAAAUAAUUUUAACUUAAUACUUUGUUGAAUUUUAUGUAAUUUUAUCAUUGUUAGAUUAUAAUUAUACUUGUGGUGAGUAGAGAUAAAAAUAUAUAUAUAUAUAUAUAUGGACAUGAAUACAAAUUUUAUGAAUUUUUGUUUAAAGAAAUGUUUUUAAUAUUACAUGACACGACCAAAAGAUUGAUGUCUUCUCCCAAGUGCAGGAGUGUCAAAGUAAUAAAUAACCCGGCAAGACCGGGGUCGAACCACAAAGAGGUUAAUUGUAUAAAUUAUAAAUAACAACAAAAUAACAACAAUAAUAAUAACAAUAACAUUAAUAGUAAUAAUAAUAAUAAUAAUAAUACUCAGUACGUGGCGUUGUUAUACCUGAGAAUGAUCUAAAAGAUCGGGUCACAGGUUUCCAGCCUAUAUACUGAGUUUAUGGAAAGAUCAAAGAGAUAUAUUAUAUAAUAUAAACAGAUUUCUGAUACGAAUGAACAAGGCAAGACCAACAAUGUCAGGAUCCUUGAUCAAACACAAAGCAUACUUAACAUACAUAAAAUAUAACAAGAAUGUAAAUAAUAAUAAUAAUAAUAGUAAUAAUAUUAGUAGUAGUAAUAAUAAUAACAAUAAAAAGAAGAGGAGGAAGAAAUUAAUGAGAACUUUGAGAUGGAAGAUUAAUGUAAGGAUUAAACAAUGAUAAAAAUAAAUGUCAAGGUUAGAUGAUCCACCAAUGGUAUUUCAAACAAGUAUAGUAUAAACUCUUAUUACUCAAUUUGGAAACCACACACGAAGGAGGUUCCAUCGGAUGAUUUGUCAUUAAUAGCUCAUUAAAAUUAUAACAUGAUCAUAUUAAUUAUCUUAUUUACAUAACACCAAACUUUUAAAUAGUCAGGAAUUCAUGAUGUUAACUUGAUGUUAACAACAAAUCAAGUACCUUUCAUAGCCAGGUGUAGGUAAUACCAUACGGUUGGGCUAUGAGAGUGCCAAGCAUUUGUUGUACCAAGUAUUAUACAACACAAAUUUAGAUUAACCAUUUAACAAGCAAGGUAUUAAGAAUUAGUAAGAUAAAAAGAUAAGACAUGUUAAUAUUAAAUUAAGGUCAUAUUGAGUUUAUACCAUACUUGUUCUUACACCAUUAGUGUAACCUUUUCACCUUGACAUAAUAAACUUAGCUAAACAUAAUGAAGAAGAGAAACAUAAAUAAACAAAACAAGAACAUAAAUAAAAUACAAGUUAACUAAGGAAAGGAAAGGAAAUGAAAAGCAUAAACAAGAAAUUAAUGAAAGCAAAACUUAAGAAUUACAAAAAUAUAAAGAGAGAAAUAAAGAGCAUGAACUUGAUCUGAACAACCAAGCCCCUAAAUACAUGGCAAAUGCCUCCUUUUAUAGGCCAAAAUUCGGAAUUAUUGUUGAUGACUAAUUGUUGAGUGGGUGGCCAACUUUUGACUUAGUGAAAAUCCUUAUCUUGUCUAAAUAAAACAAAAUGCUAGCAUCAGAACUGGGUCCAGAUGUCCAAAUGAAAGUUCUAGGAAAUUCUCUUAGCUUUCCAGAAAAAAAAGAUGAGGUCAUUUGGACUUCUAGAACUCAAGAUAUGGGCUGAACACUAAAUAGUGUUGGGCUGCAGGACAGAUUCGGACUUCUCCGUUGUUGCUAUAAUUUGGACUUGAAAACGGCCUUCUUAGAUCUUGAUGUCCAAAUGAAAGUUGUAGGCCUAUGUCUUAUCAAAUCUCUAAAAUUUCAGAUCAUUUGGAUAUCUAGAACUCGAGAUAUGACCCAAUUACCGAACAGUGUUCCAGUUUGGACUGCACCACAUCUCUUUUCUAAGCUUCACCCUUCUUUAUCUUCAAAAUUUCAGUAGUUGAAUUCAUCAAUCAAUCCUUUGAUUUAUGUGAUAUGCCUGCAUUUAAGAUGAACAUUUACCAUAUAUUAGGUAUUUAUAUAUUAGACUUGUUAUUAUAAAACAUGCUUUAGUUAAGGAGUUAUUGAUACUUUAAGUGCAAAAUGAUGAUAUAAAACCUUGAUAAACAUGCACUUUUAAGUACUAAUCACACCCCCCAACCAGCUUAUUACUAGUCCCUAGUAAUCAAAGCGUUAAAAUAGAAAAACAAUUUGCAAGUUCCAACAAAGCAAGGCAUUCAUCAUUCAACUUCCAUUAAUCUAUCCAGAUAAACAAACUCUCAUUUCUGCUUCAUAUUUCUUAAACAAGAUAUUAAUAAACCUUCUUUUUAUGUGCUCAAUGUAUGAAAACAUAUAUGAUGGGGCUUUGUUGGAAGAAAACAAUAUUAUGUUCUAAUGUUUAAGGUUAACUUCCUUGGGUUGGGAUUAUUUUUCUUUUUUUUCUUUUUUUUAUUACACAUACAACUUAAAACACAAUGCAUCUUUAACCCAUGUAACGAGCUUUAGGCUAAUGACUCCCAGACCAGUUGGUCUUAGGGCAUUAGGUGUUGAGACACCCUACGAGCUUAGCAACUCGGGUUGCAGAUACUGAUACGUAGAUAGUGCAAUGUUUGAUUCCCUUAAGCUUUUCUCCUUAACCCAUGUAACAAGCUUUGGGCCAAUAGCUCCCAAGUCAGUUGACUUUAGGGUAUUAAGUGUUAAAACACCCCUUCGGGCUUAAUUGCUUAGGUUAGGGAGGCUACGAAACCAAACUUAUCUCCAUUUUAUUCAUCAUAUUAUACUUUUUUUUUUUUUUUUUUUUUUUUUUUUUGCAAAUUAUGUACUAUCCCUUUCCCUUAGUUGUUACCUUUAACAAAAGAACAUAAAUAAUGUAAUAAUCCAAUGUGCAACCCACAAUCAUAUGUUAAAGUGUGUGUGUGAAAAUGAAGAUUUAAGAAUACUUGUUAAAUGAGCAUAUGAGCAGAAUCAAGUGAUAACAAUAUGAGAGUUUGUAAACCUGAUAUUUCAAGAAGUAUUAUGAUAGACCUUGUUAAGAAUGUUUACUAAGAUGCGUCUCAAGAGUCACUUUAACAAAAAAACUCCUUUUACUCUGCCAUCCUAGAACAACAGUUUUGCAAAUAGUUUAUGAAAUAGAAAACACAGUUUUUUUUUUUUUUUUAACUACUACCCUUUCCCCCCAACCAAAAUGAGACAUUGUCCUCAAUGUUAAGGUAGAAAGAUAGAGUAUAGAAGACAUCACCUGAAAUAACGAACACUGACAAACCUGAAACACACUUAAACAAAUAGAAGAAACAACAAAACACAAUAAUAAAACCAAAAGACACAAAGUUUUUACAAAUGAAGGCUCAAAUCCAAUCUAAGCUUUUUACGGCUUUCCUUAGUUGACCAAUUUAUGCGACUCAUGAGGGAUUAAUUACAGGGAUGAAAGAUUGUAGUUGGUCAAUCAAUUGUUCAGCAGUAGCAGAGAUUAUGAUUUGUCGUGCUGAAGAUGUUAGAAAUUCCUGUUCCACAGCAUGAUCAAGAAAGACAACAACUUAUCAUAAAAACCAUUAACAUUUAACAAACCUAUGGGUUUAUGGUGAAUGUGCAGUUGGGCCCAAGAGGAAAUAUGAAAGAUCUCUUCCAAUGUGCCCAGACCACCUGGUAAGGCAAUGAAGGCAUCAGCAUGGUUAAACAUGGCAUUCAGUCGAUCAGACAUUGUGGGACCUGUAAUUCCUCUCCAAUUGUUUUUCCAAUGAUGUCCCCUUGUGCUAAAGCUUUGGGGACAACCCCCAAAACUUGACUACCUCCUAAAAAUGCAGCUAUUGACACUCCCCCAUUAACCCAAGGCUACCUCCCCAUACACUAAAUGAAUCUUUCGCUCAGCUAGUACCUGACCAAGAUGAUUUGCUGAUUCUAAAAACUCUUUUUCUUUCCCGGACUGGAUCCACCAAAAACACAAAUUUGUUUAUGUGAUGACUUGAGGAACCUGCCAUUUCUACACACUUCUUAUUUGAUGAAUGUAUGGGUUGAGUAGAAAUGAAGGGAAGGAAGAGAAGAAUUUAUAGAUGAGAAAUUGAAAAUGCAAUCAUACCACCUAUAUGUAGGCCAGCUGUAGUCUCACACACACACACUCUCUCUCUCUUUAUUAAUUAUUUAUUUUGAAAAAGCAUAUGUAUGUACAGGUAGUUGUGAUUGUGGCUCACAUCUUCCCUUGGUUUUACGUCCAAGAACGGCUUAAACGCCCUCUAUGGGUCGGGGAUAGGCUUCCCAUCCAGUUUUCUUAAAAACUGGCAAACAGGGUCUUUUUUAGUCAGAUUCCCAAGACUAAGUCGAGCAUGUUCUUUAUGGAAUUGGGCCAUAAAUCAUGAAUUGCACGAUGCACAUCUCCACUAGGGUGCGUCUCAAGAGUCAAUAGAAGAUUAUCUAAAGACCCCUUACUCAGGCCAUCCUUAAUGAAUUGUAUUUAUCUUCACGGUUUACAGAUACCAUUCCUAAAGAACGACAUGUCGCAUUACAAGUCCAUCUGGCACAUCGUGACAGACUUUCAGUCGUUUUGCACGACGUUUCUUUGCAAAAGUGCUUUUACCUGUUCCAGGCAUGUAUGAAAUGAAAGAAUUGGAGGACUCACCUGAUAAUCGGACCUUUGCUUCAAUCAGCCAGCGAAUAUCUUCAGGAAUUCCAUGUUCAUUAACAACCUCAAUCUUGCACAUCUAGCACGGUAAAUUUUUGUAAUCGCAUUUGAGGCAGAGCGGGAAAAUACUUUUUCAAUUUUUCAAGAGUGGUGUCCAUUUUCAACUGAGAAUUGGGGAGAGAUUCAAAGAAGGAGAAAGAGCAAGAAUUGCAAAUAUAUACAGAUAUCAGUUUCAUGGGAAACUGAAAGAACCGACUUAAAGUCACGGAGUACCGUUAUCCGCCAUUUGACCGGGGUGAGAGACUAGCAAAACAAAAGUCACACAAAACAAUGUGAGAAAAAGAAUCAAUCUUUAUAUACAGGAUCACCAAUUCAAUAGAGUCAUUUUCAACUGAAAAAUUGUCAAAAUAAACUUUCAAACGAUGCCCAUUUACCUUGAAAACAUUACCAUUCUUUGGAUUUCGAUAUCACAGGCCCCAUAUGGAUACACAUGUUUCACAAUAAAAGGACCGCUCCAUCUUGAUCUUAGUUUUCCAGGAAAUAAAUGGAGUCGAGAAUUAUAAAGCAAGACUUUUUGACCAACAUUGAAUGUUUUUCUCAGUAUUUUCUUGUCAUGAAACUCUUUGAUUCUUGCUUUAUGAAUUCUUGAAUUGUCAUAUGCAUCAUUUCUUAUUUCCUCAAGCUCAUUUAUUUGCAAUUUUCGCAGCUGACUAGCAUCAUCAAUGUUUGAAUUGAAAGCUUUAAUAGCCCAAUAAGCUUUAUGUUCAAUUUCCACAGGCAAGUGACAAGGUUUUCCAUAGACUAGUCUAUAAGGUGACAUACCUAAUGAUGUUUUAUAGCAGUUCGAUAAGCCCAAAGUGCAUCAUUAAGUCUUAAAGACCAGUCUUUCGAUUAGGGUUCACUGUUUUCUCCAAGAUCUGUUUGAUCUCCCUAUUAGCAAGUUCUACUGUCCACUCGUCUGAGGGUGAUAAGGGGUGGCAACUUUGUGUGAUUCCAUAUUUCUUCAUUAAAGACUCAAAUGGCUUGUUGCAAAAUGUGUUCCACCAUCACUUAUCAUGGCUCGAGGGAUUCCAAAUCGACUUAAAAUGUUUUCUUUCAAAAACUUUAUCACUGUUUUGUGAUCAUUGGUUCGACUUGGAAUUGCCUCUAUCCAUUUUGAAACAUAAUCUACAGCGACCAAUAUGUAUAAGAAACCAAAUGAUGGAGGAAAUAGACCCAUAAAAUCUAUACACCAACAAUCAAAGAUCUCAAUGACAAGAAUAGGAUUUAAAGGCAUCAUAUGACGUUUCAAAAUAGAUCCUAACUUUUGACAAUUUUCACAAGUCUUGCAGAAUGCAUGUGAGUCUUUGAACAUGGUGGGCCAGUAAAAUCCACUUUGUAAGAUUUUUGCAGUUGUCUUUCUUGAUGAGAAAUGACCCCCACAUGCCUCAGAAUGACAAAAUUUAAUGACACUACUUACCUCAUUGUCAGGAAUGCAUCUUCGAAAUAUUUGAUCAGGACAAUAUUUGAAUAAAUAAGGGUCAUCCCAAUAAAAGUUCUUCACUUCGUUCAAGAACUUUCUUUUGUCUUGGGUACUCCAAUGAGCUGGCAAUUGUCCUGAAACAAGAAAAUUAACAAUAUUAGCAAACCAAGGCAUCGUAGAGACAGAAAAUAAAGAUUCAUCAGGAAAGUAGUCAUCGAUUGGUGUGAUGUCAGAUCUCGAAUCGGUUGUCAAUCUUGACAAAUGAUCCGCGACAACAUUUUCGGUGCCUUUCUUGUCUUUGAUUGUGAUAUCAAAUUCUUGAAGUAACAAAAUCCACCGCACCAAUCUAGCCUUAGAAUCUUUCUUAGAGAGAAGAUAUUUCAAUGCUGCAUGAUCACUAAAAACAACAACAGGUGAGCCAACAAGAUAAGAUCUGAACUUGUCACAUGCAAAUACUACUGCAAGUAAUUCUUUUUCAGUGGUAGUGUAAUUCAUUUGAGCACUAUUUAAAGUUUUACUUGCAUAGUAAAUCACAUAAGGUUUCUUAUCUUUUCUUUGUCCCAAGACAGCACCCACGGCAUAAUCACUAGCGUCACACAUUAUUUCAAAAGGUAAUGACCAAUCAGGAGGUUGAAUGACAGGAGCAGAAGUAAGCAACUUUUAAGUUUAACAAAGGCUUUUCACAUUGUUCAGUCCAUUCAAAAAUAUUUCCUUUGUUAGAAGGUUACACAAUGGUUUAGAUAUUACACUAAAAUCUUUGAUGAACCUUCUGUAAAAACCAGCAUGUCCUAAGAAUGAUCUAACAUCUUUAACGAUUUUGGUGUUGGUAAGUUGGCAAUUAACUCGAUUUUAGAUUUUCAACCUCAAUUCCUUUCGAUGAAACAAUGUGACCAAGUACAAUGCCGUUUGUUACCAUAAAGUGACAUUUUUCCCAAUUCAGUACAAGAUUCUUCUCUUCACACCUGUUCAAAACCUUUUCCAAGUUAGUUAAACAAUCAUCAAAUGAAUCACCAAAAACAGAAAAAUCAUCCAUAAAAAUCUCAAGAAAACGUUCAACCAUAUCACUGAAUAUGCUAAGCAUACAUCUUUGAAACGUGGCUGGUGCAUUACAUAAUCCAAAAGGCAUUCUUCGAUAUGCAAAAGUACCAAAUGGACAUGUGAAAGUAGUCUUCUCUUGAUCUUCCAAUGCAAUUUCAAUUUGAUUGUAACCUGAAUAGCCAUCUAGGAAACAAUAAAAUUCAUGACCUGCAACUCUUUUUAGGAUUUGAUCCAUGAAAGGCAAAGGAAAAUGAUCUUUCCUAGUCAUUGAAUUAAGUUUCCUAUAGUCAAUGCACAUGCGCCAACCAAUAAUAGUUCUAGUUGGAAUUAACUCAUUUUAGACAUUUGUUAUCACAAUGACUCCAAUCUUCUUAGGUAUAACUUGGGUAUGGCUUACCCAUUUGUUGUCAGAAAUAGGAUAAAUAAUUUCAUUAUCUAGAAGCUUAAUGACUUCAUUUUUCACUACUUCUUUCAUAUAAGGAUUAAGUCUUCGUUGCAUUUCUCUAGAUGGUUUAGCAUUUUCCUCCAAAUAAAUCCUGUGUGUGCAAAUCAAAGGACUAAUUCCUUUUAUGUCAGCUAUGGUCCAUCCUAAUGCAUUUUUGUGCAUUUUCAAAGUCUGUAAUAACUUACCUUCUUGAUGUGCAUUAAGUUUGGAAGAGAUUAUUACCGGAAAAGUUUCAUUUUCUCCUAAAAAUGAGUAUUUGAGAUUGACUGGUAACGGCUUCAAAUCAGGUUUUGGUGGUUGAACACUUGAAGGUAUGGACUCAAUUGAUCGUGGUGGCAAUUCUUUAAUUUGUGGUCUCCAAUUACAUGCCUUUGCUUCUUCCUGAAAAUAAACCAUUUGCAACUCGUCAGGUUCAUCAAUCUUUUUUUUUUUUUGAUCAAAUGUAAGUAUUGUAUAGAUCAAAAAGGAGCUGGAGACCAGCAAUACAAAGAAAAGGGGACAGAGUCCCUUGACUAAAACAGGACCUGACAAAACAAGCUUGCCGAGCAAAAGAAAAAGGAAACAGACUCCCUUGAACAAACCAUAAACAAGACCAGCUUGUUUAAAAGCAAAGGGAACAGACUCCCUUGAACAAGCAUGAAAACCAUAUGAUAAAUACAUACAACCAAACAGCAUCUCUAGGACCAACCAAUAGAAAUACAGCACUACAGGAAUCAUCAUCACGAGAAUAACCCCAUGAAGAAACCAAGCAGGACAUGAAGAGACCAGCCGUGCAGCUCCGCAAGCCAGCUCCCAUCAGAGAUUGGAAUAAUGGAAGCCUAACACAGCCGAGACAGCCCAAAAGAAGCAACCAACAGAUCAUGCCGCGUGGAAGCAACAACAACAAACAGGGGCCGACACUCACCAUAAUAGCAGGCCUAACAAAUUAAUAUUUUAGCAACAAUGGACAUUAGCCAGCAGAUCACAAUCAGAGAACGAAUAAAGGAGAGCCCUUUCAUCAUCACAGCCAAGAAAGCAGAGCCCUUUCAUCAUAACAAAGGAAGCCAAUCAGAAUCUCCCACCCAUCCAGAUUAAAGGAAGAACCAUGCGGAGGCUAAAAGGCUAACAGCCAAUAACGGGCAGCUAUGUGUAACUCCAGCAUGGGGGGAGAAGAAGAAGGACCCCAUCAUCAAAAGUUUCACGUGAGGCCGAAAGCAUGAGCCAUGCAUUCACGUUGCAAACUCUGAAGGAGAGGGCCAUGACUAUAUAAUUCCAGCAGCCACCCGAGGACAACGCUUGGACAAGAAAAAUCCCACUUGCAUGAACCAUGCACACACGAGAUGCACCCACUUCAUAUAUCUGCCAAAGAAGAGCUCACUUGGACCCACCCAUGAAUUACCCAUGCAGCAGCUUACGUCCAAACCAGCCACAAGAACGAGCGGUCAGUCUUGAAUCAGUGUUCAUCUUCGACAUGUAUGCGCAGCAGUUCCCAUCAACCAACCAGCAAUGAAAGUUGAACAAAAGCAUUGCCAUGAGCAGCUUAUCUUCAGAGGACCGCAACAUGCACCUCAACCAACAUUGAGAAUGUGGUGGUCUUUCUCGUAGAAGUGAAAAACAGUAUAGAACAUAAUCUGAAAUUUUCUAAAAAGAAUGCCCACCGCAGAACUCUUUCCUUCAAAAGUUCUCUUGUUUCUUUCUUCCCAGAUGAGAUAAACCGUGAGACCCAAAGAGACUCUUCUCAUUCGGGCUUCUAAGUUAUUUCCUCCAGUGUGAAGCCCCCUGAUGGCACUGGUUAAGGUCAUCAUCCUCCUAUUGAUGCGCAGCCACAGCUUGAUUUGCAACCAGAGGGAAGCUGACCAAGAGCAAGUGAAAAAUAAGUGGCUGUGUGAUUCUUCUAUCUGCCCACACAGUACACACGAGGUAUCUAAUUGAAAAAACCGCAGCCGAUCUUUUGUUCUCAAUUUUCCCAACACUGCUAGCCAUAAAAUGAAGUUGUGUCUUGGCAUAGACCAUUUCUCCCCACACUCGCGCCCAGCUAACUUGAGGACCAGAGAGUCUAAAAUAAUUAUAUGCUUGCACCGAGAAGCUGCCAUCCCCUCUGUUCCAUUGCUGGAGUAAUGCUACUGCCUCCUCUUGGCACCCACAGUCUUCAAGCAACUGAUCUUUUAGCAUAAUAAUAGAUUUCCAAAGAGGGGAUGAAGAGUGAUGAGCAGUCACAGCCCAUAUAAUAUUCUGACGCAGGUAAAAGUGAUGAACCCAUUUGAUCCAUAUGGAGUCAGUUUUGAGGUGGAUAUUCCAGAGCUGUUUUGCUAAGAAACUCUUGUUACGAGCUUUUAGAUCAAAUAGACCUAGGCCUCCUUCCUUUUUGGGGAGACAGAGCUGCUUCCAGGCCACCAGAGCAGAGUUGCUGUUUUGUAUGGUUGCCUGACCACAAGAAGUUUCUGCAGAUGCAAAUAAUUUGAUGAAACUACAUUGCUUGGCAUAGGAAAGAUGCUAAGCCAGAACUGAACCAUUCCAUAGAGUACUGUCCGCACAAGCUCCAAUCUCCCAGCAUAAGUGAGAUGUUUUCCCAUCCAACUUUGCACUGCCAAUUCCAGUUUCUGCCAACAAAGGAGAGUAUUGGCUUGCUAGAAGUCUGUGGGGACUGAGAGGGACACCAAGAUAUUUGAAGGGGAAACUUCCUUCUCUAAAGCCAGUGUCAUGGAGGAUUAACUGCUUCAAACUAUCUCUAACUCCCCAAAAUAGAUCGAUGAUUUCGCUGCAUUUUAUAGUCAACCUGAAGUUUGCCCGAAGAUGAUUAGCUGCUGGAAAAUAGUGGAAACCGAGUGUCUAUCCCCACGAGACAGCAAAAGCAACAUCAUCAGCAAAGGCAAGGUGGCAUAUAUCAUGGAAUUACAUUUCGGGUGGAAGCAAAAAUCACUAUUCCUCGACGCUAGCUUAAGCAUUCUGGAGAAGUAUUCCAUGCAUAAGAUGAAUAAAUAUGGUGAUAAUGGAUCACCUUUUGUUCUAACUCCACUCUUUCCAGGAAAGAAACCAUAAAGAGUGCCAUUUACUCUGCAACAGAGAAGGAUGUAGUUUCAACACAUUUCAUAAUUAAGUGCACAAAUCGGUCUGGGAAGCCAAACACAUGCAGCAGCUGACGCAGAAAAUGCCACUGAACUGAAUCAAAGCUUUCUUGAAAUCAACCUUCAUGAGACAUCUAGGAGAAGCUCUUUUCCUGCCGUAAUGACGAAGGAGCUCUUGGACUAAAUUGAUGUUGUCUGACAUCAUUCUCCCACCUAGAAAGGCAUUUUGCAAUGGACUAAUAAUGACGUUUAGAGCAGAAGCUAAUCUCCCCGAAAGGAUUUUAGAUAUCACUUUAUAGAUCACAUUGCAACAAGAAAUGGGCCGAAAGUCAGCUGCUGUAUUUACAUUUGCUGCCUUGGGGAUCAGAGCAAUAAUAGAGUGGUUAACUUGCUUCAAAAGUUUCCUAGAAGUAAAGAAAUUCUGAACAGCCGCACAAAAAUCCCCUCCAAUGAUAUCCCAUGAUUUUUUGAAGAAGAAUGAAGAAUAACCAUCCGGCCCUGGAGCUUUAUCAUUCCCAAUACCAAACAGAGCAUUUUUAAUGUCGUCAUUGGAUACAGGAGCUAAAAGAGACUCAUGAGAUCUUUCAUUGAGGCAGGGCCCACUUUGAAUAACAUCAAUAUCUAGGGGGAGAGUUUCCUUGCAAGAGCCUAGGAGCUGCUGGUAGAACCUUACGAAUUCUUCACCCAUUUCAGCCUCUGAUGUGGUUUGAAAUUGAUCAUGAACUAAUUUUUCAAUAAAGUCCACUUCCUGUAAAUCAUUAUCAUCUCCAGGUUGCUUGCAAAUGUUAAAAAUAUUCAUCUCCAAUGUCAUGUUUCCAAAUGAUAGUUUCAUCAGUCCAUUCCUACAAUUAAUCAAUGCAUUAGAAGUUGCAAGAAAUGGACGUCCUAAAAUAACAGGAAUUGAAUUACAUGCUUCAACAGGUUGUGUAUCCAAGAUAAUAAAAUCUACAGGGUAAAUGAAUUUAUCAACUUGUACUAACACAUCCUCAACUAUUCCUCUAGGCACUUUUACAGAUCUAUCAGCAAGUAAAAGACUUUGAAAAACCGAAUAUGGAAGUAAAUUCACACUAGCUCCAAGAUCAAGUAAAGCUCUUUCAAUUUUAUGUUCUCCAAUAAAGCAAGAAAUGGUAGGACAACCAGGGUCUUUAUAUUUCAAAGCAUUAUCAUUCUGAAGAAUAGCACUUGUUCGGCUAAAAAGGCUUUCUUUUUCACAUUCAGUUUUCUCUUCACAAUGCAUAGAUCUUUCAAAAAUUUAGCAUAGGAAGGUACCUGUUUAAUAGCAUCCAACAAAGGUAUAUUGAUCCUUACCUGUUUGAAAGUUUCAAGGAUUUCAGAAUUGUGAUUGACUUUCCUUUGUUUGGUCAUGGCAUGAGGAAAUGGAAGUGCUGGCGGAGAAUCAGUCUUUUCUUCACAAUGUUCAAAUUCAACCCCUUCCUUACCCUCAGAGAUUGACUCAUCAUCUUUCUCACAAGGUUCAAGAGUGGGUUUUUCAAUAACCUUACCACUGCGAAGAGUGAUGACUGAUUUGACUUGAUCCAUGUGUUGGCUUCCGGAACUACUUGCAUUUGCAUUGUAUUGCCCCUUUGGAUUUUGCUGUGGUUGAGAUGGAAACUUACCUUUCUCUUGAAAACUGAGAGCAGAUGUGAAUUUUGCAAGAGCAUCUUUAAAAUUUGUCAUGCUUUGAGCAAGUUGAGUGUUGAUUGUCUCUUGCUUUUCAAUGAAUGCAUGCAAUGUUUCCUCAAGAUUUCUUCUAGGAGGUGGAGCAUAAGGAGGUGCAUAUCCAUGAGAAUUUUGGAAAUUAUGGUGUGCUUGAAACGGUGGCUGUGAAGUUUGUGCAUUAUUGUUAUCACUCUUCCAACUGAAAUUUGGGUGAUUUCUCCAACCAGGAUUGUAUGUUUGCGAGUAUGGGUUAUGAUUGGGCCUUUGGAAACUGUUUAAAGCAUGGGCUUGUUCAUGGAGGCAUUCCUUGAAAGAAGGCAAAGUUGGACAGUCAUUGGUUGCAUGUUCAUUUGUUUCACAGAUUUGACACACAAUGUCUUGAACAGAUUUUAAUUGACCACUCUUUUUCAAUUCUAGUGCCUCGACUUUUCUAGCUAAAGAUGUAAACUUGGCUUGGAGGUCAUGAUCUUCCCUAAGGUUAUAUAUACCUCCACUAGAUGUAUGAGGUUGGUUUUACUUGGUGCCUCAUAAGUGCCUUAGUGUCCCAAUUUUGCGCAUUUUCAGCUAGCAAGUCUAGGUACUCCAUUGCUUCAUUAGGGUCUUUAUCUUCAAAAGUUCCAUUGCACAUCAAUUCAACCAUUUGCCUAUCUUUAGGUGUUAAUCCUUCAUAAAAUUGUGAAACCAAUCUCCAUGUUUCAAAACCAUGAUGAGGGCAAGUAUUAAGCAAGUCUCGAUACCUAUCCCAACAUUGGUAAAAUGUUUCUUGGUUUUUGAGUGAAAGUGGUGAUUUGUCUUUUGAAAGAGUUGGUUCUGUGAGAUGGAAAAAACUUCUUUAAAAAUUGUUGUUGCAUUUCAUCCCAAGCACGAAUGGAUCCUGACCUAAGAUUUUGUAGCCAUGUUUUAGCUUUAUCUUUUAAUGAAAAAGGAAAAAGCUUUAAUCUAAUGGUUCAUGCUACAAUUUAAGUCAUUAUAGGUGUUACAAACUUCUUCAAAUUCUCUCAAAUGCAAGUAUGGAUUUUCUAGAUCUAAGCCAUGAAAAGAAGGUAAAAGUUGAAUAAUGCCUGGCUUAAAAUUAAAAUGAGAUGCAUCAGGAGGGAAAACUAUGCAUGAGGGUGCACUUGUUCUUGUGGGAUUCAUGUGGUCUCUAAGUGUCCUAACACGGUUAUUCUCAUUAUUCUCAUUAUGAAGUGACUGGUUAUCUUCUUCGGCCAUAUUUUCUGAAAAUGAUGAGGAUACCCUACAAAGUCUACCACUUAAUGUACGUGACCAAACACUCAUGCACGUGUAGAAAGAAAUAAAAGGAAGAAGAAAACAAAAGAAAAAAAAAAAAAACAAAAAAAGAAACAAAGUUAGAUACAAGAAAAGUGAAAAGAAAAAAAAAAAAUACUAAAUUUGUACAAGAAUUUACCUCCCCGGCAACGGCGCCAAAAACUUGACACGACCAAAAGAUUGAUGUCUUCUCCCAAGUGCAGGAGUGUCGAAGUAAUAAAUAACCCGGCAAGACCGGGGUCGAACCACAGAGAGGUUAAUUGUAUAAAUUAUAAAUAACAACAAAAAACAACAAUAAUAACAAUAACAUAAAUAGUAAUAAUAAUAAUAAUAAUAAUACUCAGUACGUGGCGUUGUUAUACCUGAGAAUGAUCUAAAAGAUCGGGUCACAGGUUUCCAGCCUAUAUACUGAGUUUAUGGAAAGAUCAAAGAGAUAUAUUAUAUAAUAUAAACAGAUUUCUGAUGCGAAUGAACAAGGCAAGACCAACAAUGUCAGGAUCCUUGAUCAAACACAGAGCAUACUUAACAUACAUAAAAUAUAACAAGAAUGUAAAUAAUAAUAAUAAUAAUAAUAAUAAUAAUAAUAAUAGUAAUAAUAUUAGUAGUAAUAAUAAUAAUAACAAUAAAAAGAAGAGGAGGAAGAAAUUAAUGAGAACUUUGAGAUGGAAGAUUAAUGUAAGGAUUAAACAAUGAUAAAAAUAAAUGUCAAGGUUAGAGGAUCCACCAAUGGUAUUUCAAACAAGUAUAGUAUAAACUCUUAUUACUCAAUUUGGAAACCACACACGAAGGAGGUUCCAUUCGGAUGAUUUGUCAUUAAUAGCUCAUUAGAAAUUAUCAACAUGAUCAUAUUAAUUAUCUCAUUUACAUAACACCAAACUUUUAAAUAUUAUCAGGAAUUCAUGAUGUUAAUUGAUGUUAACAACAAAUCAAGUACCUUUCAUAGCCCAGGUGUAGGUAAUACCAUACGGUUGGGCUAUGAGAGUGCCAAGGCAUUUGUUGUACCAAGUAUUAUACAACACAAAUUUAGAUUAACCAUUUAACAAGUAAGGUAUUAAGAAUUAGUAAGAUAAAAAGAUAAGACAUGUUAAUAUUAAACGUUAAGGUUCAUAUUGAGUUUAUACCAUACUUGUUCUUACACCAUUAGUGUAACCUUUUCACCUUGACAUAAUAAACUUAGCCAAACAUAAAUAAACAAAACAAGAACAUAAAUAAAAUACAAGUUAACUAAGGAAAGGAAAGGAAAUGAAAAGCAUAAACAAGAAAUUAAUGAAAGCAAAACUUAAGAAUUACAAAAAUAUAAAGAGAGAAAAUAAAGAGCAUGAACUUGAUCUGAACAACCAAGCCCCUAAAUAAAGUUGUAGGCCUAUGUCUUAUCAAAUCUCUGUAAAAAUUUCAGAUCAUUUGGAUAUCUAGAACUCGAGAUAUGACCCAAUUACCAAACAGUGUUCCAGUUUGGACUACAUCAACGUCUCUUUUCUAAGCUUCACACUUCUUUAUCUUCAAAAUUUCAGUAGUUAAAUUCAUCAAUCAAUCCUUUGAUUUAUGUGAUAUGCCUGCAUUUAAGAUGAACAUUUACCAUAUAUUAGGGUAAUUUAUAAUAUUAGACUUGUUAUUAUAAAACAUGCUUUAGUUAAGGAGUUAUUGAUACUUUAAGUGCAAAAUGAUGAUAUAAACCCUUGAUAAACAUGCACUUUUAAGUACUAAUCAUUACACUACCAGAAAACUGGCGAAAACUAACAGAAUUACCGACAAAUUUUUUUCGUCGAUAAUUUUUACCGACAUAAAUAAUUCCAUCUCUCAUUCUAUCGGUAUAUACCGAUACAUAAUAUCUGUCGGUGAUACGGUCGGUAUAUACCGAUAGAAACAUUUUGUUGGUAUAUACUGAUCGUAUCACCAACGGAUUAUAUAUUGUUAUAUGGAAUGAAGAGUCAUGACUGCAAUGUGUUUUUGUAAACACUCAUCCCAUUAGCUUUUUGUGAUUUGUUGCCAAAAGGGAUAUGGGAUGCAUUAACAGAGAUCAAUUAUUUUUUCAGAGAUAUAUACUCCAACAAGUUGAAUGUUGAUCACAUUAAGAGGCUUGGAACGAAUAUUUUUGAGACGAUAUGCAAACUUGAGAUGAUAUUCCCUCAAUUAUUUUUUGACUCAAUGGAGCAUUUACCCGUGCAUUUACCAUUUGAGGUAAAAGUUGGAGGACCGGUCUAGUACAGAUGGAUGUAUCCAUUCGAGAGGUUAGAUAUUACAGUUGCUAUGUAAUUCAUAAUUAAAUGUUUUUUUUAAUUGAUAAUUUUUUAUUAAUAUAUAUAUAUAUAUAUAUAUGCAAGUACUUGUUCAAUCUAAAAAAAAAGGUUAAGAACAAGGUGCAUUUUGAGGUGUCAAUAUGUGAGGCCUAUAUUGUUGAGAAGAUAUCAACAUUUAUCUCAUACUUAAGAAUGAGGAUCAACCGUGUUCCACGACAUGAUGAUGGUGGUGAAGUGCCUUCAAGUGGGAACUUGUCAAUAUUCUCCAAUCUUGGACGACCCACAUCUAAAAAUGCCGUGAGGGGGAGAUAUUUUUCUAAAAUAAAGUUCAUACAAGCACACAAUUGAGAUAUUUGUCUAAAAUAAAGUUCAGACAAGCACACAAUUAUGUCAUAUUUAACUGUGAUGAGCUGAGACCUUUUAUUAAGUAAGUAGAUGUUUGACUUAAACUUUGUCAAGAGUGUACUAUUUAUGUUUUGUGAUACCAUAAACUCAUAUAAUUUGGAACAACCUUGCAGGCAACAUCAACGAUACUUACUGUCCAACAACUCACAGCUGACCGAAUCCCAGAUCUUUCAAUUACAAGAUGAACAAUUUGCCACAUGGUUUAGAACACAUGUAAGUCCUAUCACAAACUCAUUAUCUCUUGCAAUGUAAUUAAUUGUACGUCAAUAUUACAUAAUAUAUGUUUAUUGAUUAUUAUUGUAUUUAAUAUACAAGUUUUAUCAAAUGGGAGGUAGUGUUGCUAUUUCGCUGUCUUUACUAAGCACGAGCCCUGAAAGAAAAGUCAUGUGCUAUAACGAGUACUUUGUCAAUGGAUAUGUCUUUCAUACUAAAGAAUAUGAGCAUGAAAGAAAGACAUACAACAACGGUCUUUAUAUUAAGGGAUCGACUUCUAGUGACUUUGAAGAUGACUACUACGGUAGAUUGGAAGAGGUUAUCAAACUGCAACAUCAUAACAAGCAGAAUAGAGUGUUUUUAUUCAAAUGCUAUUGGUAUGACACAACUGAUAGAGUAAUCUGAGUAGAUCCUCACUAUGGUCUUGUUGAAAACAACUCAAAAGCUAGACACCGCAACGUAAACAUCUUUAUUUUUGCAAAGCAAUGCCAACAAGCUUAUUACACAUACACCCCUUCCUUUAGAAAGGACCGAUCAAGAGUUGAUUGGUUAUCUAUUUUAAAAACAAAACCCAGGGUUCAUGUCGAGGUUAUUCAGGAUGAGAACGAAGAUACAAGUAUGAUAGAUGAAGUCUUUCAAGCUAGUGAGUUGGUUGAACCAUACCGAGUUGCUCCUUCGAUUGACUUAAAGAAAUUCAAAUUUUCAUGUUUUCGACGAUAGUCUUGUUGAUGUUGACUUAGAGGAGUUGAAUGUUGUUUUGAGCUCUACUGGUGGACUAGAGAAUGUUGAUGAAGAAGAUGAUAAUCACAUUGAAGAGCGCGAUGAAGCUAAUGAUAAGAAUUCAAUUAAGGACAAAGAUGAAAAUUCUGACUAAACAUGUUGUAAAGCCUUAUUUUUAUAAUGUAAUAUUUUGGAACAUGAAAUAUUUAUUCUUCUUUAAUAGUCAGCUCUUGUUAUUGUGAUGUGUGUGCUAUAUGUUUGCAAUUCAAGAUUUUGUGCAGGAGAAUAGACAAAAAUACAUGAGGCAGCAGAAAUAUUGACAAUUUCAUCGACGGGUACAUCGAUGGAAUGGUACUCGUCGGUAUUUCAUCGAGAGAUGGAAAAAAUUUAUAGAAUUGUGCCACAAUCACUGACAGAAUUACACCCAUCGGUAUUGUACCAAGAGUUAAAAAACAAUUACAGACUUGUGCCACAAUCACCGACGGAGUGGUACCCGUCGGUAUUUUAUCGAGAGUUGAAAAAAAUUUAUGAUCCAUACCACAAUCACCGACGGUUAGCGCACUUCCCGAAAGGAAACCUGUCAGUACGCUGACGACACGUUUACUGAAGGAUUGGCCGACGGAUCGAAAAGUCAGGCGGGAUUUUCAAAAUUUUUGGUGUGAACAUCAAUAAAUUACCGACGAAAUUUAAUGCUUAAUGAUCCGUCAGUAAUACUGUUGGAAAAAUUGCUAUAUAAAACCCCUCCUCUCCCCAUUUGGUUCAUUUUUCUACUGGCUCUCAUCUCUAUUUCUCUUCUCCUCUCUAUUUUAGUUUAGUUUUUGGAAGAGAUUUUAUUGUUUUGGUGGUAGUUUUAAACAUAUUAAAAGGUAUGUAUUCUUUUUUCUUUAUCUUUGUAUUUUUUUUAUUUUAAUUAUGAUUAUUUUUUUGGUGCUCUUUGUUUUGUGUAUUUUUUGUUGAUAAAAUCUUAAAAUCAACACACUAUUAAGGUAAGCAUUUUUUAUUCCUAAAAUUUUUAAUUGAUGUAGUAUUUUUUUAGUUUUGUGUAUUGUUUGUUUUGUAUUUAGGAUGUUUUGUGUAGUGUUCUUUAGUUUUUUCAUUUUAUUUAUUAAUUUUAGGAUAUUAUUUUUUGUUUUGCCAUAAUUGUUAUUGUUUAAUUUUUGUUUUAAAUGUUAAUUGAAAUAUAGAAUUAAAUUUAAUUAGUUUAUCUUAAUUUUAGGAUAUUAUUGUUUGUUAUGUUGUUUCUUAUUUUGAUUAAUUUUAAAUGUUAUUUAUGAAUUUGUAUUGAUGGUAGUUGAAAAUAUAUAGAUGUUGAAUUUCUAUAGAUGUUAGGUUGUAUAGAGUUGGUUUUUCAAUAUUUGUGUAAUUAUCAAUAUUUGUAGCUAUGAAAACUGCUGAUAGUUUAUAAUAUAGGGGAGGUACUGUAGAAUUUUUUUUUUUUAAUGAUUGAAUUUCUAUAGAUAUUAGGUUGUAUAUAUGAUGUUGCUGGAGUCAAUUGGAUUGUGGUUAUUGUAAAGAUUGCAAGUUUGAAAAUUGUAGGUAGUUUCCAGUAUAGGGGAGGUGGUGCCAAAUGUUUUUUAAUGAUUGAGUUUCUAUAGAUAUUAGGUUGUAUAUUGUUGUUGGAGUCAAUUAAAUUGUGGUUAUUGUAAAUAUUACAGGUUUGAAAACUAUGGAUAGUCUCUAGUGUAGGGGAGGUGCUGCCGAAUGUUUUUUGUUUACGGGUAGUUUUUCUUUGUUGCAUCAACAUGGUGUUCAGCAACGCUUGAUCACUGACCAGAAAGUCGACGUAUUCCAAUCCUCUUGAUCUCCAAUUAAAAGUUUUUCAAAUUAAAGGUAAGUCGCAUGAUGUUGGCAUGCAUUACUCCCAUCUCCUUUGACGGUGGACUGGAGACUGUUGAAAGCUAAGCUGGUUACUUGUUUUUGAAGUCUUAGAAGAAGACUACGCAGGUUGUAGCAAGAAGAAUGAAGAAAUGGAAGGAAUUCUGUUAAAUUAGUUAAAGAAGUUGUUAAAACAGUUAUGGCAGUUAUAGUUGGUUUUACUGUUACAAAUCCAUUACAAACUGAUUCUUACAUGUGUAAGAAUCGUAGCCCUUCAUUAAUGGAUGAGAUGAUUUGUAGGUAGUUUCCAGUAUAGGGAGGUGUUGCCAAAUGUUUUUUAAUGAUUGAGUUUCUAUAGAUAUUAGGUUGUAUAUUGUUGCUGGAGUCAAUUGGAUUGUGGUUAUUGUAAAGAUUGCAGGUUUGAAAACUGUGGAUAGUCUCCAGUGUAGGGGAGGUGCUGCCGAAUUUUUUUAUUUACGAGUAGUUUUUCUUUGUUGCAUCAACAUGGUGAUCAACAACGCUUGAUAACUGACCAGAAAGUCGACGUAUUCCAAUCCUCUUGAUCUCCAGUUAUGAGUUUUUCAAAUUGAAGGUAAGUCGCAUGAUGUUGUCAUGCGUUACUCCCAUCUCCUUUGACGGUGGCUAGAGACUGUUGAAAGCUAAGCUGGUUACUUGUUUUUGAAGUCUUAGAAGAAGACUACGCAGGCUGUAGCAAAAAUGAAGAAAUGGAAGGAAUUCUGUUAAAUCAGUUAAAGAAGUAGUUAAAACAGUUAUGGCAGUUAUAGUCGGUUUUACUGUUACAAACCGAUUCUUACAUGUGUAAGAAUCGUAGCCCUCCAUUAAUGAAUGGAUGAGAUGAUCUUGGUUCCUAAAAUCUAGGAAUCAGUUACUUUCAACGUGUAUAAAAGUAGAGUUUUCUGCAUUAAUGAAACAGUAGAAAAAUACAAGACUUUACUCCUCAAUCUUCUCUGCAAACUUGUUUACAAUUUCUUCUCAAUAACUCCAGAAAACAAACAUGGUAUCAGAGCUCAAAAACUAAUUCCUAAGAGGGGCAUAAACUGUCAAAACAGAUUGAUUAAAUUGUUGAUUACUCAAAAAUGGUAGGAUCAAGCUCUGCUGGAGGAGAUCUAAGAACUCCAUUGUUCAAUGGCAUAAAUUACGACUUUUAGGCUGUAAAAAUGGAGACAAUCCUCAUAGCAUUCGAUCUAUGGGACGUAAUAGAAGUUGGAAUACAAUCUCAUCAAUCACCUGAGGUUGCAAAUGGAUCAGGCGAUGAAGAGAGUGAAGCUGAGCAAACUACAUUGCAAAUAUCUACUACCUACAAAGAAAACAAAAUCAAGAAUGCAAAGGCAUUAAGCUUCAUACAAGGAGCAUUAACAGAUGACCUUUUCCCAUGCAUAAGAAACGAGAAGACUGCAAAAGGAGCUUGGGAAAUUUUGAGCAGAGAAUUCAGAGGAGAUAAAAAGAUUAUAGCUGUAAAACUUCAAGUAGUUAGAGCAGACUUUGAAUACCUGAGAAUGUUAGAAGGUGAAAGCUUAGAUGGAUAUCUAGCUAAAUUCUUUGCAACUAUGAAUAACUUAAAAUCAUUAGGAGAAGAUGUAUCAGAAAACAAAAUUGUGCAAAAACUGCUAAUGAGUCUAAGUAGAAGAUAUAAGUCCAUUGUGUCAAUCAUUAAAGAGACACGAGAUCUUGAUGUUCUAAGAGUAGAAGAAGUCAUUGCUUCUAUCAAAGUCUAUGAUAAGAGGAAGGAUCUGCGUGAUGAAAAGGAUAAGCUAACAAGAACAGAGAAAUCUUUAGCAAUUUAAAGGUUGGAAACAAUCAAGCCUACAGUUCAUACAAGGGUUUCCAAGGCAGAUCUACUCAAAAAUGGCAAUCACAAAAGGAGGGGGUCAAAUUGGACUCUAAACAGAAACUUAAAUAACUACAACAAUUCAAGUUGGAACAACACUGCUCGGGGAAGUAGUCAAGCAAGUGUAAAGCCAUAGUGUCAAGUCUGCCAAAAGCAACAAUUUGGAUUGUAGACACAAAGGAAAACCAAGAUGUGGAAGAUGCAAUCGGUUUGGCCAUAUUACAAAAGACUGUGAAAGUCACAGUCACAAACAACUAGCAAAUUAUACAAAAGAAGAUAGAGUAACCACUAAAACCAUAUUCUAUGCUUGCCAUUCUACAAGCUUGCAAGAUAGAAAGGUAUGGUUUGUGGAUAGUGCCUGCAACAACCACAUGACAUCUCAAGAAUCUGAAUUAAUCAACAUCGAUAGAAUAGUGACCUGCAAAGUAAAGAUGGGCUCAGGAGACCUUGUGCAAGCAACUGGAAAAGACAUAUUGGUUGUGGAAACUCAGCAUGGAAAGAGAUAUAUAAAAUAAGUACUGCUUGUUCCCGGAUUGGAUGAAAAUCUAUUGAGUGUAGGCCAGAUGAUGGAGCAUGGUUAUUAUAUCCUUUUUGGAGGUAACAAAGCAGUGAUAUUUGAUGAUGAAAGUCUCAACAAUGCUGUAGCAAUAGUGAGCAUGGGAGGAAAUUGAUGCUUUCCAUUUUCACUUGAGUCCAUCACACCUGCAGCAAGGAAAGCUUCAGUGAUUAAGGACUCCUAGAUAUGGCAUAGAAGAUUGGGACACUUGAACUUUGCUAGCAUGAAAAAGAUGCAGCAGAAAGAGAUGGUAUGUGGACUUCCUGUUCUGACAGAAGUGGAAGAUAUAUGUGUAGGUUAUGCUUCAGGCAAACAUCACAUGGAGAAAUUUGACAAAGAACAAACAUGGAGAACAAGUAUCCACUGGAAUUAAUCCACACAAAUCUGUGUGGACCAAUGCAGAAUGAAUCAAUGGGAGGGAACAGAUACUUCAUCACAUUCAUUAAUGAUUACUCAAGAAUAUACUGGGUAUACUACCUCAUAAACAAAUCUAAUCCACUCAAUGUGUUCAAGAAAUUUAAAGCAUUCGUUGAGCUGCAAAGUGGAUAUAAAUUGAAGGACUGAUAGAGGUGGUGAAUAUACCUCAAAUGAGUUUGAAGAAUUCUAUGUAAAACAAGGAAUGGAGAGGCAGUUGACAGGUGCAUACUCUCCUUAAUAGAAUGGAGUUGCAGAGAGGAGAAACAGAACAAUCUGUGAAAUGGCAAGUUCCAUGCUGAUAGAGAAACAAAUGCUAGUAAUCUUCUGGGUAGAAGCUGUGGAUACAGCUGUGUAUAUUCAGAACAGAUGUUAUACAACUUCAGUUAUUGAAAAAAACUCCAUUUGAAGCCUUAACGGGAAGAAAGCCAGGAGUCAAGCAUCUGAAGGUGUUCAGUUGCUUGUGCUACACACAUAUCCCAUCAUCACUAAGGCAAAAAUGGGAUAGCAAAGCUAGAAAGAGAGUCUUUGUUGGAUAUGGUAGCUGUGAGAAGGGGUAUAGAGUGUAUGAUCUGAAAUCUGAGAAGAUUAUUCUCUCAAGAAGUGUGAUUUUCAGUGAAGAUAGGUCAUGGAAUUGGGAAAGAAAUAUGAUGAACCAAAAACACUUGUCUCUCAAUCUUGAAGGAGAUGAAGUUGAAGGUGAAAAUUCUGAAGAACAUUCUGCUGCAGCCCAACCCGAUAAUGUUGAACAUUACCAUCCAAAUUCUACAGUUGGAGAGUUAUUUGAGAAUAUUAGCAGUGAUAACAGUCAACAAUCUACACCUAGCUCUACUCCAGUAAAAUUAAAAACCUUAGAAGAUAUAUAUGCAAGGUGUCACAUGUGCAUCAUAGAACCUGAGAAUUAUCAAGAAGCUUUUGGAGAUAAAGCCUGGCAGGAGGCUAUGAAGGAAGAAUUGGAAAUGAUAGAGAAGAACAAUACUUGGGAAUUGGUGGAGAGACCGAUUGACAAACUUGUUAUAGGAGUGAAAUGGGUGUACAAAACCAAGCUUCAUCUUGAUGGAACAGUACAAAAACACAAGGCUCGCCUUGUAGCAAAAGAAUGCACAGAAAUCCGAAUUGAUUACAAUGAAACCUUUGCACCAGUAGCAAGGCUGGAAACAAUUCGGACUCUCAUUGCACUUGCAGCAUAGAAGGGGUGGAAGUUGUUUCAGUUGGAUGUUAAGUCAGCAUUCAUAAAUGGUGUUCUUAAGGAAAAAGUGUAUGUUGAGUAGCCUGAAGGGUUUGAAGUAAAGAAUGCAGGACACAAAGUUUACAAACUAAGGAAUGCCUUAUAUGGACUAAAGCAGGCACCAAGAGCCUGGUACAAUGAAAUUGAUGCAUACCUCUCUAUGUGCAAAUUCAAAAGGAGCACAAGUGAAGCUACUUUGUAUACAAGGUUAGAUCUGGAAGGUAACUUGAUCAUUGUCUCAAUCUAUGUUGAUGACAUUGUGUACACUGGCAGCAGUGAAAGAUUGCUUAGUGAAUUUAAAAGAGAAAUGAUGCAGAGAUAUGAGAUGUCUGACCUUGGACUUCUUCACCAUUUUCUUGGCAUGGGAAUACUGCAAACCGAUCAAGGGGUAUUUAUUCAUCAAGGCAAGUAUGCCAAAUCCUUGCUUAGUAAGUUUGGACUUGAUGACUGCAAACCAGUCUCCAUUCCUUUGGCCACUGGUGAGAAACUAAAGAAGGUGGAUGGGAGUGAGUUGGUUGAUGAAGGGCUUUAUAGAAAAAUAGUAGGAAGUUUACUAUAUUUGACAGCAAUAAGACCAGAUCUGAUGUAUGCUGCAGUUGCUUGUUCACGGUUCAUGACUGGACCUACCAAAAUCCACAUGGGAGCUGCAAAAAGGAUCCUAAGAUAUGUGCAAGGAACUCUCAGCUAUGGCAUUGAAUACGUAAGGGAUCAAUCAGCAACUCUUGUUGGAUUUUGUGAUGCAGAUUGGGCAGGAAGUGAAGAUGAUAGCAGGAGCACUUCUGGCUAUGCAUUCAGCUUUGGAAGUGGAGCAUUCUCCUGGGUCUCUAUGAAACAAAACACAGUGGCAUUAUCAACUGCAGAACCUGAGUAUGUCUCAACAUCUGAAGAAACUGCUCGGGCCAUUUGGUUAAGGUUUGUUCUUGAUGAUUUUGGUGAAAUGCAAGCUGAGGCAACACCCUUGUUCUAUGAUAACAUGUCAGCAAUUUCAAUGGCCAAGAAUCCUAUUUUUCAUCAAAGAACAAGACACAUAAACAGGAAGUAUCAUUUCAUAAGAGAGGCUCUGCAAAAAGGAGUAAUAAAUGUGAAGUUCUGCAAAAGUGAAGAACAACUUGCAGACAUCUUCACGAAAGCAUUGCCUAAAGAUAGAUUCAAGCAACUAAGGCUGAAGCUUGGAGUGAAACCAGUAAACAGCUUAAGAGAGGCUGUUGAAAGCUAAGCUGGUUACUUGUUUUUGAAGUCUUAGUAAAGAAGAAUGAAGAAACAGUUAAAACAAUUAUGGCAGUUAUAGUCGGUUUUACUAUUACAAAUCUAUUACAAAUCGAUUCUUACAUGUGUAAGAAUCGUAGCCCUCCAUUAAUAAAUGGAUGAGAUGAUCUUGGUUCCUAAAAUCUAGGAAUCAGUUAUUUUCAACGUGUAUAAAAGCAAAGUUUUCUGCAUUAAUGAAACAGUAGAAAAAUACAAGACUUUACUCCUCAAUCUUCUCUGCAAACUUGUUUACAAUUUCUUCUCAAUAACUCCAGAAAACAAACAGAGACCGCCUCGUUCUAGCCAUAUCAUAGUGAACUUGAUGACUUCUUGGGCCGAGAGGUUUACAAAGUGAGCCGAUCAUGGGAUUAAAGAAAUUGCUCUCUCCGACGAAUUGGAUACUUUGAAACGAGUUUCAGAGAGGUUGGUGAUGCAUACAAGACAGAGAAGGCAACAGGCAAACAGGGGAUAUAUAUUCAAAUAAACAGUUUGAUAUUGAAGAAAUUAUGUACAGACCAGAGACUGUAUAUCAGCGUCUUCCUUUUAUGAAUAUUUCAAAGGCACAGGCUUUUUAAUAACACCCUGCCCAAAUACUAUACACACACUACCUGAACCACUCGGUAGCUCUUGAUGUUUUACGCUGAAGCUAUACAAUUAUAUCUACAGACAGAAUAUUUACAAAUCCUUCAACUACAGGUCCUAAAAUCAACUUGUAGCAGAAAUAUCAUUUCCAGCGAGGAUGAAGCUCCUGGCUCCUUUUGACGGGACUUGGCCGGGAAGAGUCGUUGAAACUCUCCAGAGAAUAGACCUCCCAUCCCCCAUCUCUCCAGUAGGUUGAGUAUACUUCUGGGAUGUGCGCGACUCUCCAAUAAUCUCCCCCUUGUUCAUCUGAAAGAAGUGUCUGGAUUAGUUCUCGAGGCAUGUCGAAAAACUCUAGCACUUUCAGCUUUGUUAGAUGCUCAAUGCCUAAUGGUGCCUUCUCCAGCAAUUUACAGCGCUGAAUGCUCAACUUUUCCACGCGAGGCAGCGCACCCACCUCCACUUCCACGCAUCUUAGCUCGUCAAAUUUAUCAAUACCUAAAAGCUUGAGUUUCUUAAACCCUCCCACCUUGAAACACAAGGUAUCUCCUUCAUAAACUUGAAGUAAUUCAAGAUGCACAAGAUUGGGAAGAACCUGAAGAGAUUCCAGGGGAUCACACUUUAAGCGGCUCCAUUUCAAAUGAACUCUGACAAGGCUUUCUAGAUUAGGUAUCCAGUGUGGCAGUGUCUCUAAGCGUCCUGUCAAGUACAACCGCUGAAGUAGCGGAGGAGGAGAGAAAAGGUGCUCAAGAUCAAGAAUCUCAUCCUCUUCUACUGAAAGUAGAGACAAGGCGCGGAGGUUUCUAAGAUUCUCGAUAGAUGAACAUAAAGACUUGCCCAUCUCCCUUCUCAACUUUACAACACCUAACCUUCUCAGUUUAGUUAGCUUCCCAAGUUCAAUCAUAUACUACCAUUGCCGUGGUUUGCCUCAACAAAACAUAGUUUCUGUAGGGAUUGCAGUUGUCCUAUUUUCUCAAGAGCUUUGAAACCAUUCUUCGAGUGGAAGUGUGCGUAAGACUCGUAUUCAUAGCGAUAGACCAGGAGAUGACGAAGUCGUUGUAGCUUCAAGAUCUCAUCGGGCAACUCAGUGACGUACGUGUGUUUGAGAUCCAAGGUCUCUAGGUGUUGAAGUUGCCCUAUAUAGGAUGGGCUCUACUUUACCUUAGUUUCCUUCAAACUGAGAUACCUAAGGUAAACUACAGGUUGAUAACUUGAACUGGAAACUUUUUUAUUGGAGCACCUUGCAAAUCCAGCACAUGAAGCAGCCUAAACCAUUAGGAAACAAGGUUCGUAGGGGCGACUUCUCUACGACCCCAAACAUGAACAAAGAACGCAACUGAGAGACGCACCUGUUCAGUUGUACGUUUCGCACUGUGUAGUGUAUUGAAUAGACGCCGAAUUUUGUCUGGCCACGUUGCAUUUUGAUCCUUGGCUAUAACUGCAAAGUUCUGGUCUCUUGACUUUGAAAAGAUAAUCUCUCGCACGAGAGGUCAUGGGGGCGACAGUUUUGACCCUUCCGUCACUAGCUGCUCCGCCACUUGCAACAGGCUUCUGUUCAGGAGUUCAUUGAAUAGUCCUCUGCAACAUCUUCUAACUCCUUUCCAUUUUUUGCUUCCACAAAUCCUUCCGCAACCAUAGACGAAUAGUUUCAUGUGCUCAAUUAGAUGAUCCUCUGGAAAGAUGCUCAUACAAGAAACAAGACU